rnacentral:lncRNA from 1 species
CUACACAUAGUAUUAGCCUACGUAAGGUCAUUACGGCGCCGUUUCCCUUUUUAAUUGGCGUAGUUCAACUCAUCAUCCACCCAAGUUCAUUUCGUUCAAAGCUAUAAAUAACCCCUCAAACCAUUCAACUUUCCCACCACCACUCCUCACUCCUUCAACUCAUUAACCUCUCUCUCUCUCUCUCCUUCAACUCAUUAACCUCUCUCUCUCUCUCUCUCUCUCUCAUUUUCAUCCGCAAAUGGCGAACCGUAGAAGCCUCUUUUCUCUCUCACUUAUCUUUGUGUUCAUGAUCAACUCAGCCAUAGCCACUCCAGUCACAUACAAUGUGGCCAGUUUAGGAGCCAAAGCAGAUGGCAAGACUGACUCCACAAAAGCCUUCCUCUUUGCAUGGGCUAAAGCUUGUGCCUCGAUGAAUCCCGGUGUCAUUUAUGUGCCGGCAGGAACGUUCUUUCUUCGCGAUGUGGUGUUCAGUGGGCCUUGCAAGAACAAUGCCAUCACCUUCCGCAUUGCCGGAACCCUUGUGGCCCCGUCGGAUUACCGGGUCAUCGGUAAUGCAGCUAACUGGAUUUUCUUUCACCAUGUAAACGGGGUUACCAUAUCAGGUGGAAUUCUUGACGGCCAAGGCACGGCCUUGUGGGCUUGCAAGGCCUCUCAUGGCGAGAGUUGUCCCAGCGGAGCAACGGUAAUUAAUUCACUACUUUAAAUAUCAUAUUCAUGACACCAUUAAAUAUCAAAUUCAUGACACCAUUAUUUUGUGCUUCAUUAUUAGUGAGAAUUUUAAAGGUCAACGUACGUACAAUUUGCUUUAUUAUUUGCUACCAAUUGAAUUGAGGGUUUAUAAAAUAAGUUUAAACUCUACAGAACGUAAUCAAAUGGACAUGAUAAAUUGUACCACAAGCUUAGCUUGAUCAAGUAAUUUCGUGUAUAUAUGUGCAGACUUUGGGUUUUUCCGACUCAAACAACAUCGUGGUGAGUGGAUUGGCAUCCCUAAACAGCCAAAUGUUCCACAUAGUCAUCAACGACUGCCAAAAUGUGCAAAUGCAAGGUGUCAGGGUUUCUGCUUCCGGGAACAGCCCUAACACCGAUGGCAUUCAUGUCCAAAUGUCAUCUGGUGUCACAAUCCUCAACUCCAAGAUUGCAACCGGUGACGAUUGUGUCUCAAUUGGCCCCGGAACCUCAAAUUUGUGGAUAGAAGGCGUUGCUUGUGGACCUGGCCAUGGAAUUAGGUACGACAUCAAAAUUAUAUAUUUAUCCAUGAUUGAUCAAACUAGCUAAAUGCAUACUAUUUCAUAAUAUAUGUUAUAAUGUAUAUCUUUUUUCUUCGUUGCUUAAUGACAUUUGAACUUAGGACAUCUUUCAAUAAAGUGGAGAUUAAUUGGUUGCUAGUAGAGAUUCAUUGCCUACAAAAAGUAUAUCUUUCUUUUGGGUGGAUGUUCUAGUUGUAAAUUUAACAUUGCUUUAUUUGAUGGUUCAGCAUUGGAAGUCUAGGCAAGGAGCAAGAAGAGGCCGGUGUACAAAAUGUAACAGUUAAAACGGUUACCUUUACUGGUACUCAGAAUGGUCUAAGAAUCAAGUCAUGGGGGAGGCCAAGCACUGGGUUUGCUAGAAAUAUUCUUUUCCAACAUGCUACAAUGGUCAAUGUCGAAAAUCCUAUUGUCAUAGAUCAACAUUAUUGCCCCGACAACAAAGGGUGCCCUGGUCAGGUAAGAUAUCAUUCUUGCUCUAACGGUCAAUUCCCAGAGUUUAAUAUUACAACUAAAUUUUCUCUUCUUCACUUUCAUAGUGUAACGUUUUUGAUAAAAACGUUGGCAUCGCCAAAUUAUAACUGUCUAAUUUCGAAACAUAUCAAAAGCUUUCUUGGGCUUCCACCUAGAAGAGCCAAUAAUUUUAGACCCAAAGCAAAUCCAAUAACUCCUUCUUCCAUGGGCUUGCUCUCCUACUACUUACAAAGGUCGAGCCUUGCCCAUUGUAACCUUUGUAACUUAUUAAUUUCAUUGUAUGUGCAAUGAGAUUGAGGGUUGUAGCUUAAGUGGUUAACAAUAUUUACUCAUGUAUUCGAAGUUCUAGAUUUAAUUCCCCUCUUUUCCAAUACCAUUUUUAUCAAAAUGACUUCAUCGUAGCUUAGCCAAAAAAGCAUUAAACUUCCCAUUAAGCCGAAUUACCAUGCUAUAAUGCUUGUUCACCUUCUGUUUUAUCAAAAGCUGGAAAUCUGACUUCCUAUUGUUUUUUUUCUUUUGUCAAUUUUGUUUUUCGAUAGGUUUCCGGAGUUCAAAUUAGCGAUGUGACAUACGAAGACAUACACGGUACAUCAGCAACAGAAGUUGCAGUAAAAUUUGAUUGCAGUCCCAAGCACCCUUGCAGCGAGAUCAAAUUGGAGGAUGUGAAGCUUACUUACAAGAACCAAGCAGCUGAGUCUUCAUGUAGCCAUGCAGAUGGAACAACUGAGGGUGUGGUUCAGCCUACAAGUUGUUUGUAGAGUGGAAAAAUAUGAACUGCUUGUAGAAGUAUUGAAAUCCAAAAGUUUGCCCUCCAGUACUAAGGACAAAUGAAAAGUGAAUUAUACGAUUUAUAUAGGAAGAAUGAGCUUGUGUUGUUGGCAGCCUACUUGGGCUUCCCUUGAGCCUGGCCGUUCAAUUAGUUUAGUUUGUUCAAACUCGUCCACUUCGAUGGGUGUUUAUGUUAUGAAUUGUUGUAAGAUUAUGUUCGGGAUACGUUAAAUUUAUAAGAUUAAAUUUUAUGUUGAUGGCUAAUGUGGCAUUUGACAUAGGAUUCAAUAUUCUAUCAAUUUAAUUCACAAUUUUAUUAUAAUCGAAGCACACAUUAAAUAGUAAAAAUUUGGUUCAAGAAACAAAAGGAUUUGAAGUCUCGCAUGAACUUUUUGGUUGGAGCAUUUUCUCAUGUCAAAUUUUACCCGUUAAAAAUUUAUUAUGAUAUUUUAACAUUUCGGUUGGAGUAUUUUUUUCAUGUCAAAUUUGACCCGUUAAAAAUUUACUAUGGUAUUUUAGCAUUUCGGUUGGAGAUGUAUAAAUCUUAAAAAUGCAUUCAAGAUGCAUUUUUGUUUCUUAAGCUUUGAGCUUUAGGUAAUUAACUUUAAAUGUUGUUGGGCACCUUGCACUAGUUGAUUAAAGAAAAAUAGACCCGAAGCAAGAUUCCUUGUAGUUGCCAAUUCGAAGUUUUCUUUAUCGCUACAUACUUACUGGUCUACAAGUUCUCUCUCUAAUACAUAAUUUGACAUAAAUAAAUACAGUGAAGAGUGCAUUGACUAAACAGAAAAAAAAACAAAAAAAGCAGCACGUAAGCAAUUACGUGCAUUUGGUGUAAAAGCUAAAGGCCUCUGAUUUAUGUAAGCAGUUACGGUAAUCAUAUUAUAUUAUAUGUAUCUUAGUUCUGCAAUUGUAACAGGAAUAAUAUUGUUUUGUUAUCCCCAAUCAAUAAUACAAUGAUACGUGAAAAAGUUAUUUAACAUGUCAUUGCGUUAUUAGCUGGGGAUAGCAAACAGUGCUAUCCCCAUUACAUGAAAGUCUUUCUCCUGCAUAUCCUAUUAUACUAUUAUAAAACUCAAUUGGUCAAUCAUAGUGAAAAAAAUAUAGUGAAAGAAAAAAGAAGAAGAAGAAAAUAUCAAUUAAGCCCCUCUUAUAUUGAACACUUCAAUAAUAAAAUAAAAAUUGCAUAUGGAGUAAAGUCAGUCAGUUAAGAUAGUAUGCUAGUUCUUUUGCACCUGAGUUCAAUUUCCUUCCCCGAACAUUUUCAAAUAAAUAAUAAUAAAAUAAAAUGUGAAUUUGAUAGUCAAUGUCGUAGUAAAAUAUGGUUUUUUAGUAUCAAUAUUAAGGAAAGCCAUUGUUCUUUCUAGCAGAAUGCCCGCCACUGCUAGAGAGAGAGAGAGAGAGAGAGCGGAAUGGCAGAAGUGAGUAACAAGCAGGUGAUACCGAGGGAGUAUGUCACUGGCUUUCCCAAAGAGUCAGACUUGUACGUGAAUAGCACUGCUACUAUCAAGUUGAAGCUUUCUGAGGCCCCCGAGCAUGAGGGUUCUUCAAAGAAACUAGUUCUAGUGAAGAAUCUUUACUUGUCCUGCGAUCCCUACCAACGACUAUUUAUGGAAAGAAUCGAAGGCCUCAGCAGCCAAUCCACUUCCUCCUAUACGCCUGGUUCUGUAAGCAAAACCCAUCAUAUAUCUUUUCCUUUCAAUUUCUGUAAACAUAUAUACCAAAUGUUAUGCUCAAAUAUAUAUUAAUUGUUAAACAUUGUUCCCUUAAAAAAAACAAUUUAUUGCAAAAUUGGAAUAUACAAGAGGUAACUCUGCACAAAUAUUAAUGACAAGAUGAGGUGGCUAAAAGCACUGUUAAUGUCUAUCAGCGCGCAAUGAGCACGAAUAACUGUGAUUAUUAAGUAGUAGGAGCUGAUAGUUGUUUUUGUUACCACAUCCUAUGCCACAAAUAUUAAUUAUUACCAAUUAUUCUUCUAGUAAUGCUUGUUUUUUUGUUGAUGGCAACAUUGGGAGGAGGGAAUCAAAUACAAGUUUGAUCAUAUGAUUAAUUUAAUUUUGUUGGUGUAAACGUGCAGCCAAUAUACGGGUAUGGAGUGGCUAAAGUUUUGGACUCUGGGCACCCAGAUUUGAAGGCAGGUGACUUAGUUUGGGGGACUACCUAUUGGGAAGAGUACAGCCGAAUCCCUGAACCCGAAGGCCUGAUCAAAAUCCAGCACACUGAUGUACCUCUAUCCUAUUAUACUGGAAUUCUUGGUAACAAGUCAAACCUAUUUUAGAUCAUGAUGAUAUGUGUUGGUUUAGAUACGUAAGUGUAUUUUUUGUAAUUUCAUUUCAGGUAUGCCUGGUUUGACCGCUUAUGUUGGUUUCUAUGAAAUUUGUUCUCCUAAGAAAGGAGAACAUGUCUUCAUUUCAGCAGCAGCUGGUGCUGUUGGUCAGCUUGUUGGACAAUUUGCAAAAUUAAUGGGUUGUUAUGUUGUUGGAAGUGCUGGCAGUAAGGAAAAGGUACGAACUUGAGAAAUCUUUGAACUUCAAAUUAAUAUUAUCUACACCAUUUUUUCUUGUUUGGGUUGUAUUUUGCUGUUGUUAUUUGGGCCAACUUUGGUGUUGGUUUGGUUUGGGGCCUCUGUUUGUGCGCUGGGACUACAAUGAGUGGAAAGUUAUAAGGGGUAAGUUAUAAGGGGUUCACUUUAUAGCCAUCAGAUCAAUCCAAGGGCUGGGGAGAAUUGAGAUAAAGUUUCACAAUUGGGUAGGUGAGGAACCCAAACCCGAAUUGAAUAUCCAGCACGUCCAAAAAGAAGAAGAAGAGGGAAACACGUUCGAAAAAGAAGAAGAAGAGGCAAGUUCGAAGUUUGAACAGAAAGAACUCAUCUCUCUAAAACCCAGAGGUCUGAGAUACCCAAUGAAGGCAACGGCUAACGACAGUUGAAGGCAACGAUUCGCCACUCCGUUCUCCAGACCCUGAAAAAGUAUUUAUUUGGAGUAGAAGGGGCAAAGGUGUGGAUUCCAAAUCAAUGAAGGGGCGAAGCAGUGGAAGGGGAAGGGGAGAAGCUAUAAUCGUUGGAAGUGGUAGGUUCCAUUUGUGGAGCAAAGAAACAGAAAGACCCCACACAGACACCUUGCAAUAACCAGCAUUUGGUGAGUAAUUUAUGGAAUUUGAGUUUAGGGUUAGAGUAAUGGUUUUCCUCAAUUUGUAGCAUAAAUUUUGUUGGAUUUGGCAUCUCUUCGUUGUGCUUGAGUUGCAUGUUAAUUUUUGCUUAGGUAUAUGUUAAAAAAAGAAUGAAAAUCAAGUCAAUAACAAGUGAAUAACAUGUCAAUAAUGAUAUGAAUAAGAUAAUGGUGUUGAAUUGGAGGAGGCCCUCAAAACCUUCCACAUUUGAAGCAGUGCAUAGUGCAGAUUAAGAAGAGGCGGUAGAAUAUAUAUAUAUAUAUAUAUAUAUAUAUUUUAUGAAGUAAAUAUGAUUUCCUUUGUUACUAAAUUUGCCUGAGAAACAUUUGAACAGAUAAUAAUAAACUCAUGAAUAGAAGUGCAAAGCAUUUGAUGAGUAAUUUAAGGAAUUUGAGUUUAGGGUUAGAGUAAUGGUUUUCCCCAAUUUGUACCAUCAAUGUUGUUGGAUUUGGCAUCUCUUAUUUGUGCUUCAAUUGCAUGUUAAUUUUUGCUUGGGUAUAUGUUAAAAAACGAAUGAAAAUAGAGUCAAUCACAUGUCAAUAACAUCUCAAUAACAUGUCAAUAACAUGUUAGUAAUGAUAUGAAUAAGAUAAUGGUGUUAAAUUGGAGGAGGCGCUCAAAACCUUCCACAUUUGAAGCAGUGCAGAGUGAAGAGUACCUCUCUGGCCCUAGAAUUUAUAUAUUUUGUGAAAUAAAUAUGAUUUCAUUUGUUACUAAAUUUGCCUAUGAGAAAUGAGAACAGAUAAUAAUAAACUCAUGAAUAAAAGUGCAAAGCAUUUGAAAUGAAGGUUGAUCUAUGACGAUUGUGGGUGACUGAAGAAAAAGCUAGAAAGAAAGAAGGAUGUGGCAAUUGCUUAGCAAGCAGAUAGCAGAGUAGAUGCUUUGCUUUGCUUCCUUCCACUAUAUUUCUUAUUUAUUUAUUUUGUGUUGUGUAUGAGAUGACAAUAAUUGUCAUGUGUGUGAAGUGCAGAACUUGCCUACAUUGCACUCACACGAGUAUGGAUCCAUAAAUAAAACACGUGAAAUUGUUUGUAAUUCACAUAAUCAUUGCAUUAACAGGUAUUUGCACAAAAUUUGUCAUAUUGCUUUGAUGAUGUUAAAGCCUAUGAUCAGUAAUCCGUAUGCUCAUGUACUUUGUAAAAUUUGUAAUGUGCCUGGUUGACUAGUUGUGAUUGUGCAAAUACGUGGCAGUAUAUGUGUUCACGUUAUUUCACAUUGUAUUUGAGGAAAUGGGAUCCAACGUGGAGCUGGUAUGGCCAGAGGCAGAGGCAUAUUCGUCACGGGUGAACAACUGCUCACAUGCAAAUUCAUCUCUAGCUGCAAUUCGAGCGAAGUUGAGUGCGGAACAAUUAGAACAAUUCAAGACAUCAUGCUUUGGCCAUCUUCUGAAUAUAGAUAAGAUUCAGUUUAGCGGGCAGAUUGUGCAUGGGGCUGUGUUGCGUAGAGUAGCGGGGCAGGGUGUGAAAGACUUGGAUGGACUGAGUUUCUUAUUAGGGUGUGACGUUGCUCAGUUCACUCGUCAGGAUUUCUGUUUGAUCACAGGGCUUCGUUUUGGGGAAGUGCCUGAAGUUUCCAGUGGAGAGAGUGAUGUAAUCAGACUUCAGAAAAGAUAUUUUAUAGACGAAGGAAUUACAUGCAAUGCUUUAGAAGAAGCAUUUAUGGGGUGCACAGAGGAAGAUGACAUCUACAAGCUAGCUCUUGUUUACUUUGCUGAGUUAGUGGUUUUGGGAAGGGACAAACAUUUGAACAUCAAUCUAAAUUACCUGACCCUUGUAGAGGACUUGGAUGCGUUCAACAGGUAUCCGUGGGGUUCGGUGUCCUUUGACAAAACCCAAGACAGUCUAUUUUCUGCACCAACAAAGUAUGUGAAAAGCUUGCAAAAUGAAGAGGGAAGAGGGAAGGGGAAAAGUAAGGUAACGGGAACAAGCCGGAGAAAUGAGAAGGGCAGGAAGGAUAAGCAUGGUGAAGCGCAAAGGAGUGGCUGGAGUUUUAAAGGUUUCACGUAUGCUUUCCAGGUACAUGGUAAUAAUGUUCAUGUGAGUUAUGUUUUGUUUUUCUUUAAAACAUAAAUAAUGACUUUUGUCCUGUGAAUUGUGUAGAUUUGGGUAUAUGAAUUAAUUCCUAGAAUGGCGGACCUGAAUUACUGCAAGGUUGUUGAUCCGACCGCUGUCCCGCGUAUUUUGCGAUGGAGAACUACUACGUCUGUUCCAGAGAUGAGAAAGUUGAACAAUUAUUUUUUCCAGAGCAAAGAGGUUUGGUUUGCAGCCCUUGGAACUAUUGAUAAGAUUGAAUGAAAUUUUGAAGUAGAAUGAUUUAAUAUGACUGUGGUUUGUAUUCUGAAACAGUCAGUUCAGUUGCGGGCGCUAUGUCCGAGUGAAGAGGAAAUGAGACAGCCAUAUUGGAGUUGGCCACAGGAUCGCCCUGAUGAGACAGCCAUAUUGGAGUUGGCCACAGGAUCGCCCUGCUGUUGUCUCGGCAGAGUCAAUUCCUUCUUUAUGUGGUGAUCUUGAUCAGUUGAACAAGGUGGUAAGCUUGUUGAGGUCCGAGUUGUUUCAAGUAAAGCGGGAAAAAGACGUCCUUCACUUAAAGGUCAUACGGAUGGAAAAACUGUUGGACCAAUGUUUAGGUCCUCAGUUUGAGCAGGAAGUAAGGAGGGACCUAGCUUUACUGAAACAGAGGACGAAGCGUUGUGUCGUCUCACAUCUAUUUAGGGGAUAUCGGGAAUUGGAUGACAUUCAAUGGGAUGAAGGGCCAAGUAACAGAAAUGAGGGAGAGGAAAAGGAAGAUGAAGGGAUUGAAGGGGGUGAAGGGCCAAGUAAUAGAAAUGAGGGAGAGGAAAAGGAAGAGGAGGGGAUUGAAGGAGAGGAAAAGGAAGAGGAGGGGAUUGAAGGGGGUGAAGUGCAAGGAAUACCAAGUGAGGUAGAGGAAGGGCAAAGGAAAAGAAGUGAAGGAGAGCAAGUGCAAGUAAAAAGUAGCAAAGGAGAGGAAGCCCAAAGACAGAGCAGUGAGGGAGAGGAAGUGAAAAGAAAAAGCAGUAAGGGAGAGAAACUGCAAAGGAAAAAAAGGGAGGGCAAGGAAGUGAAAACACAAAGAAGUGAGGAAAAGGAAGUGCAAAGAAACCAAUGUGAGAAAGAAGAUAAUGAAGUUAUGUUGCUUGGGGAUGACAUUGGCGAGAGCACGGAGGGGACACUGCUUGAGUUUACUGUCGGGGACAUUGAUUUGGAUCAACCUACAGCUGUGCUAUCUCAGUUGAACGUGUGGUUGAAUGAUAAAGGUAAAGCUGUGGCACAAGGGGUCCAAUUACGGAAAAGGAAGAGGAUCAUUCCUAUGUGGAAGAUCAUUGAAGGCAUUGAAUUGGUUCCAAAAACUGGGGCACAGACAACCGGACUGAAGAUGUUAGACCCAAUGAAGGCGAUUCCGCAUGAUGAUCUGGUGAAUUUGCUGAAACUUUGUUGGGAAUGGCGCCAGGACCCAAAGUAAGUCCCUUGCAAUUAUAAGAUAGAAGCACGACUGUAUAUAAUUUUUAAUAUACAGUGUUCUAAAACUGUUUUAUAUUCAUAGUUUAGUGAUGCAAUUUGGCAACGUGGAAGCUGAGAUUGAAUUCUUCGCUUCCCUCGUGAAAGCUGAUGGUUGGCUGAAAGGAGAUGUAAGUGUAAUUGAUUAUGCAUUUGUUUUAAUGUAUAUAGAUUAUGAGAUUGACAAGAACAACAUGUUGCAGCACAUUGAGUUGGGGUUGUAUCUCAUCCGGAAGCGACAACAACAGUUUGAGGAAGUAGAAAUAGCGGACUGGACAACGACAGAUGUUUUUUUUAUGGUAUGUCAUCGGCCUUGACCAAGUGCCGUUAAUAAUUACACAUUUUCCAUACAGACAAUAGUGGAGGUGUUUAACCAUUGAUUGUUUUGUAUUUCACAGAAUCACAUUCGAACUUGCUUUGCGGAUAAUAAAAGAAAAAAACAGCAGCUUGGGUGGAAAAUCAGAAAAAGUUUACUAAACGUUGUAAAUGGGAAGGUUCCUCCGUGUGGGAUGGAUUGGCAGAACGUCUAUACGGUGUAUACCCCAGUUAUGUUGACGAAGUACAAGCAUUGGGUGGCUGUAAUGAUUGAUCUGGUAUUGUGUGAAAUCAAAGUGUACGAUUCAAAGGUUUCACUAAUUCCAGAUGACAUCGUAAAGGAAGAACUCGCCCCGCUAUCAAUUAUGCUUCCAAAUCUUCUCAACACCAUCGACUUUUAUGAAGAAGGUGUUUAUGCAAACAAUUGCAUGCGAGAUUGGUGGUGUCCGUGGCCAAUAGAGCGUGUGGAUGUUCCACAACAGUCUAAUGAGUAAGCACAACUUGCAAUUUAAUUUUAUUACUUUCAAUUGUCAAUUACGUUAGAAUGUCAUUAGUUGAAUUGAUCGAGUUCUUGUUUUGCUUCAGAGGCGAUUGUGGCAUGUUUGUGUUAAAGUACAUUGAGCUUAUCAGCGCUCAGCUUUCGUUAGCUAUUUGCACCUCGCACAACAUGCCUUUUUUUCGGUUGAAAUUGGCUGCGGAGAUAACAAGGGGAGAUGCUUACUUCCCAUGAUAUUGGUUGAAGAUGACAAAUGGUACAUGAGAAGGUUUUGGGAAUGUCCAUUCUCAAACUAAUGUAAAUACACAAUAGAGACGUACGUGUCCUUUUCGAAUUCUACCGCUAACUCCUUCAUGACAUUUACAUGUUUGUUAACCAAACUGCAUUGAAUUGGAAUUUUAAGACUGCAUAUGUUAAUUGGGAUUUGAAGAUGGCUUUUUAAGUGUAUUACACCAUUGCAAAGUGAUAUGUCAUUGUUGAUGCAAGCCACCAUUAUUCGCAAUGAGUUGCAUCAUAAUAGGUGUGUAAACAUGCGAAAGGUUUUCGGCAGCUCAGUAGCAUAAAAGUAGAAACAAUUACAAUAUACACAAAAUGAACAACAAUUCACUUGCGUUUGGACAAGCAAUACAGACACAACAGACAAACAAUAUACACAAAAUUGGCCUGCCAUAUACAGACAUACACACAGUAGACAUGCAAUAUACACACAGUAGACAUGCAAUAUACACACAAUAGACAUGCAAUAUACACACAAUACACAUGCAAUAUACACACAAUACUCCCUUAACACACACAAUAGACAUGCCCUUGCCCACAAUAAUGAUGCAAUAUACUUCAGUCCCCAAGUACACCAACCAUAAGGAAGUCGUAUUGAAUAGGAUAUUAAACUUAACAGUUGUUCUUCCUACUAAAAGAAAGAAUAACGUCCGUUUCCCCCCUUCAUUCUUACUUCAGUGAUACUUGUGGCCCCAAUAAACAUCCAAUAUUGGGUCAAGGAUAUUCCAUAUACAUGCAGCAAACUAUCAAUAAACCUUCAAUAAACAUUCAAUAUCGGUUCUAUAACAUGCGAAAUACAUGCAGUUAACAAAUAUUACAAAAUGGGUUUAGGGUCUCAUUGGUGGUGCGUGCAACAUGUCUUGUGCGGAAGAACUUUCACAAUCUUUGAAACCAUGCAGUUAAAUGAUCCUUAAAAGAACAAAUAAAAUGACAAUUGAUACAACUAAUAAAACUAAUACCAAGUCCUUAAUGGACUUCAGCAUGUUCAGCACUCUAGCAUCAUACGUGUCAUCUUGAUGUUCUGCUUCAGCGGAGGUUACAUCAACCCAUUCGAAUCCAUUGCAACUGGUGGCUCCCUAAUUGCAGGCAUCAUAUAUGGAAUAUAAUUCUGUUAGAGUUAGACAUGGGUUUAUUUUGACCCACAUACAUAUUAUUGAAAUUAAAACUUACAUAGGAGGUUAGACACUUCCAGAAUGGCUUCCCUCGAUUUUUGUCAGAUUUUGAAACCCGAAGCACCAUUGUAGCUCCACAAUACUGACACCUCUUUGUUUGAGCAGGAGAUGAAGACGAAGACAUGUUGAAUCUUCUCAGUUGUACCUCUUCUCACUCAGAUCUUCUCACUGAAACCUCUUCGGACUCAUACCUUCUCACUCAUCGUUGUCAUUCAUACCCCUUCACUCAUAACCCUAAACUUGUCACUCAGCUCUCUCUCAUCUCUGCCCAAAUCGAGUUAUAUUUCUUUUUUUUGGGAUCAUUUGGUGGGUUGGUCACGAUCUCGACACCCGUACCGUCGGCAUUGCGACAUCUUUUAGCCCGAAAAGCAAUAUAAACUACUUCACUACCAAAUAUAUUUUCUGAAAAAUGAGGGGACACUGCUUCAAAUUUAUUAUUUUAUAUAUAUUUCAUUAAGGCAACUAGUUGGAUAAGAAUCCGUCAUUAUUGGUUCCAUUUGAAUAACAUUACUAGGGGUAGUUGGGUGUGGGAAAAUGAAAAAGUAUAUGAUGGGACCUUCUGUCACUACUCAGUAAUCCAUCACAUUUGUAUCAAUGAAUUUGAUAGUGGGAUAAUCCCACAAAUGGCUAUGCAAAUAGCCAUUUAAUGAACUUUUUGACUGUCUGACUCUGUAUGCACCGUUAUGACGUUUUCCCUUCUUUUGUCUUCAGUUUUAAUUCACUUGGGUUCAGUUUCUUUAAAAAUGGUCAACUUGGAAAAACCCCAACUGGAAACACCUUUUCAAAACACUAUAAACAGAGGCUAAAACAAAACGUGUACCCCAAAUAUUCUCAUUUAUCCCCUCUGCCACUCCUCAAAUCGUUCCAUUCCAAAAACUUUUCAAUGAAUUCGAAACACUUCACUACAGUCGGAGGAAAGAGAAGGAAGCAUCUCCAUUUCGAUAUGCCCGAAGCCUUCAUCCCGGAGUCCGCUUGGUUUCAAGUGAUGUUAUACGUGGCAACCGAAUCAUCGGAAGAUCUCUUCCGUAUGGCAUCUGUGUGCCCAUUGUUCCAAACUUUGGCAAACAGUCCACAAGUGUGGAACACCAUUUCAAUGGCAAAGUACCCACACCAUCCUAGCUGGUACCGUGCCAGACCUGCGGUCCAGCAUUUCUUGCAACAAUGCAGGGCUUGCGAUAACCCUGAGUCGAUAUUUAGAGAAGCAUUCGAUAUUUUUUUCAGGGCCAGUAAGGUGGAAGCGUUGUAUGGGAUGCGCAUUGCAGCCACGGCAGGCCAUAUGGAAGCGGCAUAUGUAGUUGGACUACUUGGUAUAUCCGGAAUUGGUCAGUCAAAAGAGGAUGCAUUACAAUUCUUGUGUUCUUUGAAUCAACGUAACAACAUUGAUAUGAAAGGAACCAGGGAUGCUUUGACACGAAGAUUAACCGGACCAAGAGUUGCAAGACAUAUCGUAGAUAUAUUUGACUAUGGGAAGAUUAAGUUCAAUCGCUGCAGCACUUGUAACAACAAUGAAUGGUAUUUUGUUAUUCAAGGCUGGCCUAGUGAAGACAAGAUAAAUCCUGCCUUCUAGACUUGUUGCAAUCGAUGCAAAUGGCACCGUGAGAGUAUUUUUUGGUUCAAACUGAUGCGUGAGUAUGUUGUGCGAGGGAAUCAUGUAUUUUUGCAUUAGUUUUAGUACGAAUUUACGGUUUUGAUGCAUUGUGGACUUACUUCUCUUCACUUCUAGGUUGGCUGGCUACGUUGUACAAAUGUUGUUUAAAUGUUGUUUAAAUGUUGGUAUUUUGUCAUAAACCGUUUUAUAUAUAAAUGUAUAAUAUUUAUUAUAUAGCGGAAUUAUUACUUACAUCAUAGACGGCUACGAAUGACAUUUUACUGACACAGAUAUUUUGCUCACCCACCCCAAUAUUCAUAUUUGGUAAACGAAAAGUCAUGCAUGGAGUAAAUAGGUGUCUUUUCACCAAUGCUUGGGAAUGACAUUUUCCCACUUAGCAUAUUCGACAGGAUUUGGUUACACGUUUCUUAAGCAAAAGUUGAACAGUGAAUGACGUUGAAUAAUUUGUUUGUGUGGAAGGAGUACAAUGGAUGACUUGUAUAUUUCCAUAUUAUGUUUGAAAACAUCCCUUCAACCUAAAAAAUAAAAAAAUUAACAAAUUGAAGAACAGAGAAACCGAUGAGCACUACAAAUGGCCUAUUCGCACGGAAAAUAAAAUUGUUUUAAACAAGUUGGACUAAAUAUAAUUAACAAAUGGACAGCCUAAAAAGUAAUAUCAUAAUAAUUAUAAUAAUUGUGGAUUAAUAAUAAUAAAAUACUAAUGUAGCAUAACCAUGAAACAGGGAAUUCAGUAGGAAGAUGAAAUCUCAAUAAGUUCGUUGAAAUGUUCGGAUCGUUUUUCUAAUUUUUGUGUAUUUAGUUCUGAAUUUUCCAAGAAAAAAAGUAAUUAAAUAAUAAUUUAGGGUAAAAUGGGAUGAUGUGGCCAUGUUGACUGACGUACACUUGUGCAAGUACUCAUAAGUGAGGGGCUGAGAUCGCGCCAGGUGUCUUCUUGGAAUUAGGGUUGGCUAUUUUAGUGGAAAAAUCCUUGAAAAUAGGUAAAAAAUAGUAGGAAAUUCCUAUUCUAGGUUGGGAAAAUUACCCGCGCCUCCUUGUGACGUCAUAAAACUAGGAGAACCUAUAAAUCAUCCGUCUCGCAAUGAAAUAAUCCAAAAUGUUUUACAUAACUCACUUCCCUCUUUACCCUAAGUAUUGAUGUUUGUUAACUUGAACUUCAAUAACCUACUUCAACAAGCAUCUCCCGUUAAUGUUGGGAAUAAUUGUCUAAAAUGCGUAACAAUGAAUCGGAGAAUUCAGCAAGGGAGAUGGAGUGUCAAUGAGUUCGUAGCAAUUUUCGGAAAUAAUUUUGAAUUUUUGUGUAUUUAGUUAUGAAUUUUGUAAGACAAAGUAAUAAAAUAAUAAUUUAGGGUAAAAUGGGAGGAUGUGGCCAUGUUGACUGACGUACACUUGUGCAAGUAGUCAAAAGUGCCGGGCUGAGAUCGCGCCAGGUGUCAUCUUCUUUUCAAUUUUGGAUUCUUUUGUUAAAAAAUCUUUGAAACUAAGUAAUAAAUAGUAGGAAAAUCCUAAAAAUGCCCCCAAAAUUACUCCGGCCUACUUGUGACGUCAUAAAACUAGGAGAACCUAUAAAUCAUUCGUCUCGCAAUGAAAUAAUCCAAAUUGUUUUACAUAACUCACUUUCCUCUUAACCCUAAGUAUUGAUGUUUGUUAACUUAAACUUGAAUAACCUACUUCAACAAGCAUCUCCCGUUGAUGUUCGGAAUUAUUUUUAAAAAUGCGUAACAAUGAAUCGGAGAAUUCAGCAAGGGAGAUGGAGUGUGAAUGAGUUCGUAGCAAUUUUCGGAUAAUUUUUUUAAUUUUUGUGUAAUUAGUUCUGAUUUUUGUAAGGAAAAGUAAUAAAAUAAUAAUUUAGGGUAAAAAGGGAGGAUGUGGCCAUAUUGACUGACGUACACUUGUGCAAGUAGUCAUAAGUGACGGGCUGAGAUCGCGCCAGGUGUCCUCUUGCUAUUAUUUUGGCUUUUUUAGUGCAACAAUCUGUGGACAUAGGUAAUAAAUUCUACGAAAAUCCAAAAAAUGCCCGGAAAAUGAGAAAAUGAAAAUUAUUUGUACAUAACUCACUUUCCUCUUAACCCUAAUUCACGUGUAACACGUAUAUUUCGGAUAAUAUUCGAUAUAUAAUUUGUAAUAAUACAAUAUUUAGUUUCACUAUAUACAAUAAUAUGUUUUGUUAUAAUAAUGUACAUAAAUAAUAAUUGCACAUGCUUUGAAGCCAUCAUUGCAACUACGCCUAGAGCUUUCAAGACGUCAGUUCGUAUUCAAUAAGUUGUCCACAUGCAAGUGCACCUACAGUUUUCAACACGUCAGAGGUAUUCAAUAAGUUGUCCACAUGCAACUGCACCUAGAGUUAUUAACACGUCAGAGGUAUUCAAUAAGUUGUCCAUAUGACGCCGCAUUGGGAAUCAGUAAUAUAUUUUCAAUCAUGUCCAAUCACAUAAAAUAAUGGCAUACUUUUUCUCAAUAACCUCACACAAGUGAAGCAAUUUUAAAACCCUUACUGAAUAUUUGUCCUAGUCUAUAUGAGUGAUUAUAUAAUCAGUCUGCAUUUUUUUCACAGUAUAUGUUAACUUUGAGAGGGAUUCCACAAACAUAAAAUAUAAAGAAAGCAAGAAAUAGUAGGAGAUGAACCAGUAGAAAAAACAAUAUAUAAAUGGUACAUAAUAAUUCCAUAACCUUGUCACAAACGCACUCACAAAAGCUUUUCCAUAAACCUUGUCCUAACAUAUAAUAAAUAAAGGCAACAUUGCAUAUGAUGCAACCAUGUCCAAAUCUGAUACGUGAUCAAAAACAAAUGGACAUGGCAGCAACAUAUGACUGAAGUAGAUGGGCUCUUUGCAUCUUGUGUUUUCGUAAUUAAAGACAUCAAAAUAUUAAGGUUUAAAUCUUCCAUAGUAGUUAGCAUCAAAAUAGCUUUGAAGCAGAGUGUAAAGAAAAUUCCAAUUCCACUGAUUUGCCUCUGCUCAAACACGAGAACCAAAAUGGUUACUUCCCUUGCUGAGUAUAUUUGGUGACGUCGGAAACGGUAAUAGAUGAUCAAUCAAACCCAGGUACGACGAGUUUUGCAUAGGAUCGGAAGUAGUCGAAUCCAGCUUGCAUCACACGCUUCUUUGACUCCACUGCAUUAGAUGAGUUCUUGUAUUUUUGAACAGCUACACUCCGAAGUCGUUUGUGUCUACGCUUCAUGCGCUGCAACUUCACCCUAUCCAGAUUGGCCUGCCUUUUGUCAUCUUCAAUUUGGCCUUCAACAAAUUCCAAACGUGCCCUUGCCCUUUGGAUUUCAUCACCAAGUUGAAGAUGCCUCUCCUUCCAAAAAGCAACAACUCUUUCAGACUCAAAACUUCCAACAAAAUGGUCAUUCUGUCUAGGAAUGUGACAUUGCUUGUCUGGUGACUCACUUGCGUGUCGAAGGCGGUCUUUGUUUGGAGGGGUGUUUAUUAUGCUCACAUCAAACUUGGUUAGUAAAUCCAUUCUUUGGGGGGAAUGAGUUUGUUUGCUUGAGAGAGUAUCAGUAGAUGGAGACAGAUUCGGUGGAGGAGUGAGUUUUGUGUGGAAGGAGAAUUUAUAUGAAAGGGGUGAUAGUAAUACCAAGAAAAGGGUUCCCGCCAAAAAAUAUUUGGUUGAGAAUGUAUAAAUUAAUUUUUGGUCUGAUACAAUCUAAGUUGAAUCCUAACUAGUUUGGUUGAGUUAACUAAGUAGAUGUCACUUCCAUUGAGUUUCUUUCAACCACUAUCAGUGGUGUCAGGAGAGUGUGAGGUUGACAUGCUUGAAAAGCAAAACCUGACACCUAUUUUUAAAAAAUUCCAUAAAAAAAGUACAUAUGUUGACUACACACAAGCUUUGGUAUGUUGGUCUAUAAACCUAUGUUCCCUUUCUCAAACGAAAUUGCAUAUGCAAUCCUCAUCCUCCCAAAACAAAGAGGAUUAUUCAAGCAUGUCAACCUCUUCAGGCGCCAACAACACAAUCGAAGAUGACAAAUUGGAGUCGCAGGUUCUAUUUCCACAUUGUACUCGCCGACCCCUUCCUUUUUCAACAUCAUUUGGGAGUGAGGGGGACUCCGAUGAUCCAUUAGAGGCAAUACAUGCAGUCAGUGGCAAGCUGGAUUAUAAUUCCAGACUGAUCAAUUCAUGGCACGAGAAAUGUGUUGAAGACGAGGCAAUUUUGGCUGAUCUUAACAUUAGAGUGAACAAAGCGUUCUCCCAAAAGAACAAGUACUUGAAGCUGAGUCAUAGCAGGAAGCUGAAAGCUGAGGAGUUGGAUACAGUAAUGAAUGAUGAAAUGAAAGGUUGUUUGCUGAACCACAUGCGAUGCGAAGAGCACCAUAGUGAACUGGAGUUGGCAUUCAACGAAGGAUUCGACAAAUUUCGAGCAUUUGCGGCAACUACUCAUACAAGUUAUGAUUGGAACUAUGUGUCCCCUGAUGCUGUGAGAGAGAUACUAGACGAUGGGGGUGACAUGAAUGAGCAUAAGCACGUCAAAGCUGCUCGGAAGAAGCCGACCGAUACGACUAAGUGAUUGCGGCUACCGCUGUUCAGUUGGUUGAGGGUGACCGUGGUAUUGCACAUAUACUCCCUUAAUGUCAUUAUCUAAUUUCAAAUAACACAAAUAUCAGUUUCAUUUGCUUCAUAUAUAAUUAUUGGGACUAUGUAUUGCAAGUCAUCAUGUGUUAUAAUGUCUAACAUUAUAUUUUGCAAAUAUGGAAAUAUUAUUCAAUAAGCAGUCAAUAUCACAGCAAGCCGGGAAUCAGUAAAUGCUCCUUAUCAUGUCCAUUUACAUUAAAGAGCUGGCGUACUAAUGUGUUCAAAAAAAACUGAGACGUGAGUCAUAAGUAACAUAACAUGUGCUAUACAUUGUUUACUGAAUGGUUUAUGGUUUAUUUUUAUAUAAUAAAAUUCCAAAUAUUGCUGAAGAUUUAUUUCGUCUAUAUGACUAGGGAUAUGAGUGGCCAUAAGCAUGUGAGACCUGCUAAGAAGAAGCUGACGAGUACGACCGAGUGAUUGUGGCUACCGUUGUUCAGUUGGUUGGGGAGAUCGUGGUAUUGCUAAGAGGGAGCACAUAAUAUGUUUUGCAAUCAAAUGUUCUUUUGUGUGUGGAAUUAUGAGUAUUUAUGUAAGUUAGUGUACCCUUUAAUAUUUUUCACCUAAGUAUCGAAAUGUAAUUAGCUGCAAUGUUAUGUUUCAUUUUUACACGCUGCUUUCUAUUUGCUCUGUUCCAACAAAGUGCUUCAAGUAUCCUUCAGUUACAAAAGUGUACAAAAUCGUGCCCCUAAUAACCAGUCGUCAAAAGUGGCUACUGCUGGAAAUGAUUACUGGUAAUGGAAACAACAGCUGGCUGCUGGAAAUGCUGCAUUAGCCUGAGGAUUUGAAAAAUGAAUCUCUGUUAAAACAUAAUUCACCCUAAACUGCCCAUUUUACAUGGUAAAGGUCAUUGCUUCUUCACAUAACUACAAAUUUCAUACUUGAUCAAAUGUCUAUGAAAAUUUAUAAAUAGGGAGAAGACGUAAAAUUAACAUGUCUCCAAAUUUCAUGGAAGAAUGAAACCAAGGAAAUUUUCAUUUCAAUUACCAGUGGACAUAGUAAGAGCUCAUCGGUGGACAUGAACAAAAACACAAUAAUAUUCAAAAACUGAAUCUAUAAAACUUCACCUGAUCAUUAAUCUUCAUAACAACCACAUUUCGUCUAAUACAAAUAUAAAUCAUUUAGUUGGUCCGUGCAUCCUGUCAAAAUCGUCGAAUAAUGGGUCACUACGAUGUAUUGGAGUUGAUUCGUCAUUGUUCGACGGUGAUGUCCUGCAUAAACAUCAAACACAAGCACAUAAAAAUUUUACCUUUUCAUAUUUUAGAUGUUAUUACAACUAGUGUUAGCAUCUUACGGUGUGUUCAAGGCUGGGCAUUGUCUUCUAUCAUGACCAAUGUGUCCACACUCCCGACAGUGUCUAAUCCCUCGCUUCAUUGCCUUUUCCUUUGCUCCCGUUACUCCUUUCGACCUUCCUUUGCACCUCACUCUCUUAGGGUCUUUCAUAUAUUGUGUUUGAGAGCUGGACCCUCCAACUUCGUUAUUACUUAGUCCAUCCUUCAGCAACUUUAACUUCACCUGCAAACUUUUUAGAGUCUCUGACAGUAGCUCACAUCCUUCUUCACUCAUUAAUGCAUCCUCAACCACAUCUGAAGCAAGUCGAGACAUUGUACUCCGCUUUAUUAGAAGGCCAGGAUCUGCACAGUCUUUAAUUUCGUUGCCAUUUGCAUCUGACACCAUUCCAGAUUUCGCAGUUUUCUUCCACCUCUUCAAAAUAUAUUUAUCGGGCAUAUAUUCAAUCUGGUCCCUUCUGAACAAUGCUAGGAUGUGCUUGCAAAUAAUUCCAACAAAUUCAAAUCUUUUGCAGCUACACGAUGCGUGGUCAGAAUCUUUGACAUAUACGACUUCUGCCACUCUUGUUUCCCAAUUUUUCCUUUCGCUCACGUUAAAGACAACUUUACAAGCAUCCUCUGUUUUGAGCUCUAGGAAACAUGCUGUACUUUGUAUUAGUUCUUGCUCAAACUUUUGAAACAUUGUCCUUGUGUACAAGGUAGCCAUUUGUUUGUUCAUUGGCAUCGGUAGAAGACAUUGAGCCACUUCAAAUGCAUCUACGUGAUCAGCAACUAACUCUUUUUCACGUUGAUGAGAAAGUGCCCUCUCAAAUCGUAUUAUGAAAUCCAUCAACGAAUUUCUCCUUGAUAUGUAUUGCUUGAAAAAACCAUGAGAACCUUCCGCUCUUUGGCUGCUUGACAUUCCAGCGGCAAAAAAUUGUCGUGCGUAGGCUGGAACCCAAGAUUCCCUUAAAUCAAACAUUGAACUUAGCCAUGGAUGGUCGGUCAAACCAGCCUUUGUAACCACAAUAUUCCAUUUUGCAUCAAACUCAUCCUUAUUGUCAGUAUCCCAUAUGGCUUUCUGAAAUUCACGCCAAUACUCCUUAUAAGCGUCACGUGGUAACUUAACAGAGAACUUUGAUGUGAUGUGCCAUAUGCAAAGUCGAUGAAAUGUACUCGGGAAGGCUAUUGAAAUCGCUAUGGCCAUUGCCGCAUCUUGAUCUGUAAUGAUCGUUUUAGGUUCCCCACCUGGCAUGGCUUUCUUAAACUCCUCAAACAUCCAAACAAACGACUCAGUCGUUUCCUUGCUCAAAAAUGCACAUGCUAAGACAAUUGUUUGACCAUGGUUAUUAACUCCCAACAUUGGUGCAAAUGUCAAGUCGUAUCGAUUCGUGUUGAAUGUGGUAUCGAAUACAACAACAUCUCCAUAAAACCCAUACGCCCGUCUAGAAGUUGCAUCUGCCCAAAAACAUCGACUAAACCUGUCAUGCCCAUCUCCCUCAAUCUUGAAAUAAAAAGCCUCAUUUUUUUUCUGUUCAGCCAUAAAAUACUCGGUCACUAGUUCAACAUCGUGGUUCCUCAGCUUCCCAUUCACACUACAUUCAAGAUUGUAGAUAUCUUUUUUGAUAAAACCGAUUUUAUCCAUUCCUCCGGAUUGCACCUUGAAAAUACUUACCUUAUGAUGAAUGGGAAUAUUAACUGAACCCAACUGUUUUGUGAGUACUUUGUAGAAUCUGAAAUAUGACGGUGUGAUCUCAAUAAAUGCAUUCUUUCUGAGGGUGUCAUCUUAUGAUUGUGUCCCUCUGCAAAAAGAGAUAUGGUAUACUUCUUGCUCCCAUUUGUCUUCACAACCACAAUCUUAGCUUUGCAAUUGCAUCUACUUAUUCCCCGUUGUCUUUUUCUCUCCCGAGUUUCAUCCUUCCUGUAUGCACCUUGUUUGCAACAUACAAAUUCUUUCCUCAAAAUCUCUUUCUUAUUUUUCCCCCAAAAGCUAGAAUGAAGUCGAAUACCAAAGCCAGCAAAGAAUGCAUAUCUAUUAUAGAAAUUGUAAACGAGGUCAAGCGAGUCAAACUUCAUCCCAACUGCUGGUGUUUCCUCAUUUCUUACUUCAGGAAUAUAAACCCUCCCAUUAGCUGUUGCACAUUCAUCACUCUCUGAGCCCCCAGACAUUUUAUCUACGUAUAUUAUUGAUCCACUUCUAUAUUACUGCAUAGCAAUUAUUCAUUCAUUAAUCAGUCAUUACUGCAUCACAACAUAUCAAUGCAUUCCACUUACACAAAACAUUGCCCAAAUUGACACAAAAUACGCAUAGCCUAACUUCCGAUUACACAAAACGCAAGCAAAAUUUCAUAAAAGUUACGUCAUCUCUUGUGAAAUAAUCUGGUCAAAAUAACAUUAGAACCAACAUGUUCAACUAAGAACACAAAUGUAAUUCAAACCACCAAUUACAGAACUUCACCCAAUAUCCUCUCCAACUGCUUACUCCUAAUGUCAUUAAGCCUAAGUUUAGGUUCUUUUACCUACAUUUCAUAAUUUUCCACCCCGACCAACAACAAUGAACUAAGAAUAUUGAAUAUUCAUAAGGAAAUGACACAUUAUUGAUGCCACAAAUGACGAAUUUCCCACCCUCACAAAAGAUAAACCUAACCCAAUAAAAUCAAUCCAGCAAGUGAACUUACCUCUCAAAAUCAAUCGGGAGCUCUGAAGUCAGUCAGCUUGAAAGAAUGUGGUGGACAUUACAGAAGACUCUUUGGUAUUUGAGACUCCAUCUCUACCAAAAUCGAGGAACAACUGCUGCUGCGGCUUCUAGCUACAAAAACAGAUAUGCUACUUUGCUUUCAUCUGGAAUCUUGUCAGCUGAAUGAAAAAGAGAAGGGGUUUUCACUUGAGCCAUAGAAUCAAAACAGGGCAACAGCUAGGUAAGAGCCAUUCUUCGUAAUACCCAGGAUACCAUAGAUCGCAGGCCUCCCAACGAGCUAAUGACAGUCGAGUGACUAUAAGGUUUGGGAGAUUUGGAUCCUUCUAAUUGUGGGUUUGCUUUACAUUCAAAAAGAAAGGAUUGUGUUCUUCAGUUUUUCACAGAGAGGGAAAGAGGGGAACAACUGAAGUUGGGUUUCUAACGGGUUAGAUUUCAACCCGAUUCUACAUGCACCCUCUUUUAAAAACUCACCGUUGGAUGAAAUCCAACGGCUCUUACAUGCCCCUCAAAAACACCCCUUAUAACUUCCCACUCACUAUAGAAGCUCCCCUGUUUGUGUUGUUGAAUUGGGUCUUUUAGUUGUUUUUGUAAACUCUGAUUUAAGUCUAGUUUGGUAUUGCUGUACUUUUAAAAAAAACUACUUCCGCUGUGCUGCUAGAAUACUCAGCUGUAAAAAAAAUUAGUUAUGCUUUUGGUAAACUAUAUUUGAAAAAGUGCUGUGAGUAAUCCAAAUGUUUGGUAAAUGACCAAAAAAAAGUGCUUUUAAUACGUACAAUGACUAAAAAGGACAUGAUGAUGGAACUAUUUGAUUUUUUCUUCAUUCUUUUUCUACUUAAAAAAAACUUCACUACAUAAUUUUUUUUUCUUUUUUUAUUUAUACUAUACACGUGUUCCUCUCUUCUCAAAAAAGUAAAUGCCUUUUGUUAUGUAUUGAAUGCUAACCCAACGACACCAAUUGGAAACCCAACACAGCCCAUCUCUCCACUUCAAUUUUUCUCUUUCUACCAUUUACAAGUUUUUUUUCUUCAUUCCUUCGUCUAACCAAAAAUAUCUCAUGUUUCCCCCAAUUAGUUUUAGUACUUUUGGGUAGGUGAGACUGAAAAGGGGAAAAAUUGUAUGUUGGGUUUAUGUUUUGGUGUUCUUGCAAUGGGAGAUAACAUAGUGGAGAAAGUAGCCAUGGUGAAAAUACAGAUUUCUGGGUUGCAGCCAUGGAGAUUUGAGCUGAUUUACAGUGCUGUAGUGGGGGUAGUUGAAGCCCCCCCAAAGUUGGGACUACUGCAACAGGAUCUUUCCACCCAAAACCAAAAACAAGAACAACAAACUCAGGUGGAACAUGAAACUCAUCACUCUCUCUCUUCCUUCGACUCGGGUUUUCUCUCUUCUUCCUCAAACCUGCGACAAAUAGAAAAACCCCCAAUUUAACAGAGAAAACUCUAGAUGCAGAAAGUUUGAGAAGUAGAAAACCAAAAAACCAUAAUUGUAAUUAAGUUAUUGAUGAAUGGGCAACCUUCUUAGCAAUUAAUUUUUUGAUGUCCACAAUGAGAGUUCCAGCAGCGUCAGAGAGUAGAGAAGGAAAUGAAGGAAAUAGAGUUCACAGAAUGGAGAAGAAAAAAGGGGCAAAAGACCGUCAAUUUGUAAAAUAAGUGAGGGUAUUACGGGAAAGUUAAAAGUUCAUUAAAACAACCGGUUAAAUUUUUUUUGAAGCAGCUUUUAAAAGCUUGGUAGAGACGGCUUCGAAAAAACAGCGAUCAUUGACUGCGAUUUUAAAAAAAAGCAGGAUUCCUGAUGUUUUCCAAACACCCAACUCAUGAAAUUUUUUUAUUAAAGCUGCUUUUUAAGAAAAUUAAACGCUGCCAAACACCACCUUAACCAUUUUCUUUGCGUGUGCCAAAUUUAUAAUUUUGACCAGUGUCAUGCAGGAAAAUGUUUCAUGCUUUGUUAACAGGGGGCUUUCGAUGAGUAUUUUAUUUAGAUGAAAAGUGAUUCAUUCCUUUCCUUUAUGGAUUCAUCUUGUUAGGUUGAUCUAUUGAAGAAUGAGCUUGGAUUUGAUGAGGCUUUUAACUAUAAAGAAGAGGCUGACUUGAAUGCGGCUUUCAAAAGGUGCAUAUGAGUAAUGAUAGAGAGAUUACAUUUAUAAACCCUAGCGGACCAUGAAUAUAAUGAGUCUUAAAUCUAUUAGACAAUUGGUUAGUUGACAGGUGGUAUACAAAGCAGUCUACAAAUGUGAUCUCCCUAUCAUUUUCCGUAAAAUACAUAUUUAUUAUGUUAUACUAGUUUCCUUUAGUAAGAAAAGAAAGGAAAAAAACUAUUAUUAAGAAUUUGUGUGUUGUUAGGGUUCAUCAUUGGGCUGGGCCAACUCAAAAAUUUUGGGUUCGAGCCGAGCCCUCAUGGGCCGAAAUGGGCCAGACUUUUUGUUAAAAAGUCUUUUCAAUCUUUUUGUUACACAUUUCGUUUUUUCAAAAGUGAUGGAUAUAGAGUAUUCUCUUAAACAAUAGUAUAGAUUACUACAUAAUUUAAGAAAACAAAAAUAUAAUAGCCAAACUUUUUUACUAAACCUAGACCAAUAACCAAUAUAUUUAAAAAAUAUUAUACCUAAAAAUGAAUCUUAUGAUGUGCAAUUUGUGCCUUAAUUAACUUAUAUCCCAAAUUAGGAUUGACAUCAUGAAAAUUAAAGCAAUUUGUGCCUUUAAAAUUAAUAAACCCAGAAUAAGCUUUCAAAUUCUUUAUUGAACCGUUAAAUUUGAACUUGACAAAAAAGGGGCACUAAGAGAUAUAGUGCAUAUAUUGCUUGUUUGUUACAAAAUUUUAGACAACAUUGAAAAAAUUAACUUAAUUUAUAACAUGUGUAAACAAAAUAAAAAGUUUAUUAGUUUAUCAUACAUAUUACAUUAUUUUGAUUAAGUAUAAAAUGAGGUUAGGGAAUGCAUCAAUUAAUCUUAAAAAAAUGAAAAGCAUAAGCGGGCGGGCCGAGCGGGCCUAACCAUCUUGCUAGGCUGGACUUUGACCCAUCAAGCCUCGGACUACCCACUUCGGAGCCGCGGGCCAAAUGAUGAUCCCUAUAUGUUGUAUAUGAUGCUUUGAAGCUUGAGCUUUCUUGAGUGAAGGAUAAAUUUUCUUUGUAAUUACCAUACACUUGCCAGGUAUUUCCCUGAAGGCAUUGAUAUUUACUUUGAGAAUGUUGGAGGCAAAACGCUAGACGCAGUGCUCCUCAACAUGAGAGUCCAUGGCCGCAUUGCUGUAUGUGGAAUGAUCUCACAGUACAAUCUUGAUCAAGCAGAAGGGGUAACAAAUUUGAUGCACCUUGUGUAAAAACGUAUCCGCCUCCAUGGAUUUUCGGUAAGAGAUCACUAUCACAUCCAUCCGAAAUUCGUGGAGUUUAUGCUGCCUUACAUUAGGCAAGGAAAGAUUGUUUAUGUGGAAGACAUAGUUGAAGGCCUUGAGAGUGGUCCAAGAGCGCUGGUUGGACUUUUUAAGGGUCUUAACUUUGGAAAACAAGUAGUUGACGUCUCUGCAUGAAUAAGUUGUUUUGUCAAUCGAUUUGGUGUGCUUGUGUUUCUAACCACUAUAACUUUGUUAAGUGGCUCUUUGGUUUUAUUUUUAUGUUUUUGGAUCCUUUUUGGGAUUGCAUAUGUUAAGUGGUGCACUUUGUCAUACAGAAGAUAUUCAUCAAUAAUAAGGGCUAAUUCAGGAUUGUUGUCACUUUUAAAAAAAGAUGCUUCUGUUGUGUUUUGGAAAUAAUAAGCUGUAAAGUAGUUCCAUGCGUGUUAAACAAUAUUUUUAAAGUGUUGUUAGUAUAAAAAGUUAUGUCAAAACCGUUUGGUAAAUUUUGAUAUAAAACUAGUAACUGUUGAUAAUGACUAAAACAUACAUGAUAUGUCGAAAGUGUUACGUGGUAACCAUAUGGUGGUGGUGGCGGUGGUGGUAUAGGUGGAGGUUGAGUUGGUGGUGGUGGUGGAGGUGGAGGUGGUGGUGAGGCGUGCUACGGGCACCAACUUAAAUACUAAUUUAAUGAUACCAACCUAUGUGGCAUAUGACAUGACAAUUUAUGUCAUAUGCCACAUCAUUUUUUUUAUUAGUUAAGUUUUAACAAUUUUUUGUCAGAAUUAACUUAAUUAUUUAGUUUUAAAUAAAUAAAUUCUGCUCCACGCCUCCCUUCCUUCUCGGAUCUACUACCAUGGCCUCCUUCCUCCCCAACUUGUAUGCCCUUAUUAUUACGCACAUUGAAUUUGGCUUUCGGGGUGUGACAUAUUUUUACCAAUCCCAUGAAGCUUUUCUUAUCUUUGAAUGCUUGAGUGCUAACCAUUGUGUGUUUCCCUUGCUUUAGGAAGAUUGCCUCACUCAGCAAGAAUGCAUGGUGAGGUGUUUGUGAAUGGUGCAAAAUCGGUACAUGUACAUGGCCACGACACCGAUAUAUAAAUGAGAAGAGAAUUCCUUGGUCAGUAUCAAUAUUGCGAAACUGUUGCAGCAUUGAAGGGUUGUGUGAACUCCUCGAUUUCAAGCGAAGUCGAAUAUUGCUUGAUGUGGAAGAUGGCUCAAACUAAUAAAAAUGAGGAAAACGGAUCAUACCAACAAAAAUAUGGCAGAUGGCCAGAAUCAAUAUAACCGUGGUCAGAUUUGGGAAGUGAGGCCAUGGCAGAUUCGGAGAGGGAGGGAGGCCAUGGCAGAUCUAUAAAGGAAUGGAGAAACAGAUCACACCUCUUCCCUUCUCCUCAUACCACAACUCAUCAUACACACCCAAUCGAUUUUGAAAUAUUACAUAAAAGUUGUGAUGGCGCUGGAACUGCAGAUUCAGAACGUUUUUUAUAUGCUUCCCACAAGCAGUCAGACAAACCCUUAGAGGACGAGUGACAUCAUUACCUUCUCAACUUACCAAAGAAAGAACUCCUUCCGAAGUGGUAACCACUUGCCGAUGCUCCCAACUACAGAACCAAGUUUCCAUGGACACGUGUCACCUCCACAAUAGUUUGCACAAAGUCCGACAUUGAAACUUUGUGCAAAACUCCCAUUUUCAGGGAACAGUACCUAAGGAAAAGGGGUAACUACUUUUCACAUUUACUGUUACUCUGCCAAAAUUACCACAUAUACUCGCUGACUUAAGUAUUGGAGAGUCUUCGGCAGGUACCACACCAGUGUCCGAAGCUUGACGAUCCCUUCUUCCUUGUUUUCUUAUGCAAGAUCCCUCCAUACCGAAGGUCCACAACCUUCUCCCUUGCUGAAGAUUUAACACUCCUUUAUCUAAGUUAACCCUCCGAAAAAGAGCAUCAACACGCGCAGCACUCAUUAUCUUUCAACAAUCUGAUUAUCUUAUACUAGUUAAUUUAUGGGUUGUUUGAUAACAAUUUCAAUUUUAAUUUUUAGUUUUCAUUUUCAUUUUUUUUGAAAACUGAAAACAUGUUUGGUAUUAGAUUUCGUUUUCAAAUUAAAAAAAAAGUGAAAUCUAGUUUUCAAAAUCACCUUUUUUUUAAAAAACAACUUGGAAGUGUUUUAUGUUUUUUUUUUAUGUUUUUUUUUUUUUUUUUUUUUUUUUUGUGCACUAUUGUUUGUUGGAGUGUUAGUUGACUUUCUUUGCACACCAAGGUUUCCCAUAUUAACUCAUGCAUAGAUUGGAAUUGAUUUCCUACUCUAAAUAGUAUUAGAAGUUAUUAAUUACCUUACUUAGCCUUCAAGGAAUAUUGUAUUAUAAAUAUGGCCUUCUACAAGGAGAAGAAUACACAGAAAAUUCUCACCACAAUUACUCUUUCGUAAUUUUAGCAUUAUUUCAUUCAUAAGUUUCACAUCACCACACAUGAAAUGCACUCCGGUUACCAAAAGUCGGUAUUUGGGACCUCCCAACUUGGACUUGGUCGCUCAAUUCGUGCUUUUGGCCACAAUCCCAAUCCAAACCUCGUCAACUCCAUGUCCAAAGGUCACUAAAAAAUAAUCAUAAUUUUAAAAAAUUCACCAAAAAAUAUUACGAAUUUUUUGUCAUUCCUGCUUUAACUUUACCUUUUGUUUUCAAAUGUUGACCCGUCCCAACCCAACUCUCAAUGCUCGAAGGGUUCUUUCGUGUAGUUAAGAGUUGGGUUUUCCAAGGUAGGUCUAUAUUGAUUCGAACAACUUUGCGGUAUAUCUGUGGGUAAGAUACUGUUCUCAAAGUAGUAAAGGCUGAACUAAAAGGCUAAAUGGGAAAAUGAAUACUUUCUUUUCUCUUCCUCAAGAAACAUACAUCCUCACCACAAGAGAGGGAGAGUUGCUUGGUAUUUUGUUAAAUAAAAUAAAAUAAUUAAUAAUUGAAAAUAGAAAAUGUUUGAAAAGGAUAUUGGGAAUAAAGAGAGAAGAUGCGGGUGUGAGUAAAAUAACAAUAAAAGAAAAUUAAAUCAAAAAUAAAAAAAUAAAAAAAUAAUUAAGUUUUGGGGAGUAGAAAUCGGGAUGGAGGGGGGAGAGAGAGGUUUUUUUUUAAAAAUUUUUUAUUCGUAUUUUAAUCAAUUUUGAUAUUGUUGAGGCCCAAAAAAGUUACGGGAAGCCCAAAGACAUUUAAAGCCCAAUAUAACAUAUAUUCUCAGUCAUGCGUUAAUCCAAGCUGUAAUUCGGAUUUAAUUCAUUAAAUAAAUAUAAAAUAGUGUACAUGUCAUGCUAAACUAAUAAUACAUUUUCCCCAUGCUAAUCACCUAUCAAGCUCACAUGAACCCAAGUCAUGUGAUUUACGGGCUUGCAUGAGGGAUUGUGGUGUGGAAGGUUACGGAGGUCCACAAGGCCCACGGAAGCUCUUGGAUAACAGAGACUUUGGGCUAGCUACUUGAGAGCACCAAAGUCCAAGCCCAUUACUUAGAGUUCUCCAAUGUGGGUGAGCAAAUGAGACAUUUUUCAAGCACUGCCUUUUACCUAUAGGAAAUAGUCAUUUUCCAAAUACCAAGCUUUACCCGUUGGAAACAAGCAUUUUCCAGCACUUCCUAUUACCCAUUGGAAACAAGCAGUUUCCAGUGCUUCCUUUUACCAAUAGGAAAAAAUCUGUUUAUGAUACCUAGCUUUACCUAUUGGAAAAUAGCAUGUCCUAGUCCUCCCUUUUAACCAUUAGAAAUAGGUUGGUUCCAAUACCUCCCUUUACCUAUUGGAAAUAAAGGAAAACCCUCACCCUCUAUAAAUUGGCACUCAUGGCUCAAGCAAAAGGCACCAAUUUUUCUUCAGCCAAUACUUCCUCACUCGGCUACUGCAAGCAUCCCAGCAGCCACCAACCCCCAUAAAGCAUCACCUAGCUCCAAGCUUUUCCUUCCUUCCAAGCUUUAAACACCAUAGCCUUUAAACCUCAAGCUUUUCCUUCCAUCCUCCUUCUCUUGAAACUCUUAAAUCCCCAUAGCCAUAGCCACACACAACAAAUUAUCAACACCAAACUCAAACAUAUCCAACACCAAGCCAAGCACAUGCAUUCUCAUUUGCUAAACUUGUGGGUCUUUAGCUCCUACACUCCAAGCUCUCAUGCUAAGCUCACAUAAUCUCAUACCAACAUCAGCAAGUCAUCUUCAACUCUUCGUCGAGCUGCCGAAAACAUCAACACAAAACAUGCAGCCGUUGGAAGAAGAACAAAGUACUCUCCCGGGACUUGCUUUUCCCUUGGGACACUUUGGGCCUAGUUCUCGCUAACUCAGAUAAAGGAACAACGAAGUCUUCAUUCAUCACUCUAUGGCGACCCAAGAAUCAACAAAGCCCGGAUGAGCCUUCGAACGAAAGUGACCACAUGCAAAGCUCAAGCUUCAAUAGCCAAGCCCAAGCUUUUGGUUCCUAAAAACAUGCUUACGACAGCUGCAACAAACAAUACCUAAGUCACCAUAAGUGAUAUGCCCCAGCGUCUCAAGCACUUUCUAUGCCCUGACAAUUCUAAUGAUCAAGUUUUAGAGUCAAACCAAAAGGCCAUUGGGAUGUCUCAAUUGCCACAAUUCCAUAAUCAAUCAUCAUCAAGCCUCAAGCCUUAUUCAAGAAAUCCAAGCACUAUUCUUUACUCAAGAAGGAAAACAUCUCAGUUCGUGGCAAAUAGAAGGAAAAUACUACGAAGGUACCGGAAGAACCUAAACACUGUCAAGAUGAAGUUUCCUUUACCAAGCAAUCAAAAUUUUUGAAGUGAUGUCAAGCUAUCAAGAAAAAGAGUAAAGUCACUAUGCAACACAACAACCAAAAUAUGCUUGUAGUAACCAAGAUUCAAGCCAAGCAAAAUGUGGAAGAUAAUGAUGCGUUGUAUGAAAUGCUCCUGGAAGAUAACACAAGCCCUAUAGUCAUGCUGCCGGAAGAGUGAACCAUCAUGCCACUAAAUUUGAAAGAGGAGCCCCAUAUCUGAGUACUGGAAGGCAGCGCAGUGGACUCCAAAACUAAGAUCUAGUCCAAGUGACUUAAGGCCUCCAUAUUGCAAUGCUUAUUUGCCAACACCUAUACCGCUUUCAAGCUACUGCAGACACUAUCAUGCUCAAAUCCUUAAGCAUCUCCCAUUGUAUUUUCAUCUUCUAAUCUACCAAAGCCCUCAUGAUUGACCAAGCUAUAUCUUGAUUCAACUCCACCCACUUGCUCUUUACAGCAGCCCAGGCCCAUCUGUAGCUGCCGGAACAAAAAAGCCCCAACGUAAAUGACAAAACCGAAACACUAAAGCACAUCCACCAUGCUAAAUAGCCCAAAAGCUAUAUUAAACCACGACACUUUAGCCAAUACCAAGCGUACAAGCCAAUGCCCAGCAUCCAAGCAUACAAGCCAAAGCUUAGCGUACAAGCCAAUACUAAGCAUACAUGCCAAUGCCAAGCAUACACACCAAUGCCAAGCAUCCAAGCCAAUACCAAGCGUACAAGACAAAGCCAAGCAUACAAGUCAAUACCAAGCAUACAUGCCAAUGCUACGCGUAUACGCCAAUGCCAAGCAUCUAAGCCAAUACCAAGCAUACAAGCCAAAGCCAAGCGUACAAGCCAAUACCAAGCAUAUAUGAGCCCAAGAUCAAGCGUACAUGCCAAUGCCAAGCAUCCAAAUCAAAUACUAAGAAUACAUGUCAACAUCAAGCAUACAUGCCAACACCAAAUAUACACGUAAAAACCAAGGAAGCAAGCACGGAUGUUUCAUGCAUAUUGAAGAACCAGCCAUGUCAUGCCACUGCCAAUUAUUUUGGGCUGAAAUAGAUUAUUGGGCCCAUCUCACUGCCACUUCAUAGCCCCAAUAAUCAAGGGGGCUAAUGUUGAGGCCCAAAAAAGUUACGGGAAGCUCAAAGACAUUCAAAGCCUAAUAUAACCUAUAAUGUCACUCAUGCGUUAAUCCAAGCUGUAAUUUGGAUUUAAUUCAUUAAAUAAAUAUAGAAAUAGUGUACAUGCCAUACCAAAAUAAUAAUACAUUUUUUCCAUGCCAAUCACCUAUCAAGCUCACAUGAACCCAAGUCAUGUGGUUUAUGGGGCUUGCAAGAGGGAUUGUGGUGUGGAAGGUUACGGAGGUCCACAAGGUUCAUGGAAGCUCUUGAAUAAUGGAGACUUUGGGCUAGCUACUUGGGAGCACCAAAGUCCAAGCCCAUUACUUAGAGUUCUCUAAUGUGGGUGAGCAAAUGAGACAUUUUUUAAGCACUUCCUUUUAUCCAUAGGAAAUAGUCAUUUUCCAAAUAUCUAGCUUUACCCGUUGGAAACAAGCCUUUUCCAGCACUUCCUAUUACCCACUGGAAAUAAGCAGUUUCUAUUACUUCCUUUUACCAAUAGGAAAUAAUCUGUUUAUGGUACUAGCUUUACCUGCUGGAAAAUAGUAUGCCCUAGUGCUCCCUUUUAACCAUUAGAAAUAGGUUGGUUCCAGUACCUCCCUUUACCUAUUGGAAAUAAAGGAAAACCCUCACUCUCUAUAAAUUGGCACUCAUGGCUCAAGUAAAAGGCACCAAUUUUUCUUCAGCCAACACUCCCUAACUCAGCUGCUGCAAGCAUCCCAGCAGCCACCAACCCCCAUAAAGCAUCACCUAGCUCCAAGCUUUUCCUUCCUUCCAAGCUUUAAACACCAUAGCCUUCAAACCUCAAGCUUUUCCUUCCAUCAUCUUUCUCUUGAAACUCUUAAAUCCCCAUAGCCAUAGCCACACACAACAAAUUAUCAACACCAAACUCAAACAUAUCCAACACCAAGCCAAGCACAUGCAUUCUCAUUUGCUAAACUUGUGGGUCUUUAGCUCCCACACUCCAAGCUCUCAUGCCAAGCUCAUAUAAUCUCAUACCAACAUCAGCAAGUCAUCUUCAACUCUUCGUCGAGCUGCCGAAAACAUCAACGCAAAACACGCAGCCGAUGGAAGAAGAACAAAGUACUCUCCCGAGACUUGCUUCUCCCUCGGGAUACUUUGGGCCUAGUUCUCGCUAACUCAGACAAAGGGGCAACGAAGUCUUCAUUCAUCACUCUAUGGCGAUCCAAGAAUCAACAAAGCCCGGAUGAGCCUUCGGACGAAAAAGACCCCAACAGAUAUAAAAAUACCAUUUUUCCCCUGCAGUUAACAGAAAAGUUAACAGCCGGACCAUUUGUCCUAACGAAACUGAAGUUGAAGAACUACGGGAACCAUUUUGAAAAUUGAGGUACUCAAAUACAAAUCGGGUCUAAGUUCAGGGAUUAAUAAAACAAUUAACCCCUGAGUUUAUAAUGCUCGAGAGUAUAUAGGAAGAGGACACUCCAACUGGCAGCUAUGGAGGAGGCCAAGACUAGUAGUGUCUAUUCUGUGAAAGCUAACUUUGCUUUCUUAUUAUCCACAACUUAGAUAUAUCAAUGGCUUCUUGCAAGAACCUCAAUUCUUUAUGAACUUUCUGCCCUAAAAUGCUUUAUCUAAUAGCUCAGACAAUGGUGAAAGAAAAAAAAUUGUUGUUGGAAUCUUAGCAUAAUAAUAUUUUCCAGCCAAAAUCAGUUGUUAGAUUCUCCAACAGCACAAUCUCUUUUCGCAAUCACAUACUAGUCAAUCCUACAGAGCAUAAGAUCCUACUUUGAGGGGUGGAAAGGAAUGAAUUCAACUCACCACUAUUAUGACCAAGGCAAUAAUUUUCAUUUCCAUCACAUGAUUCUAGGUGACCCACAACUCCAUACCACCAACCUGCAAUAUAUACAGAAAAUCCUAUCAAGCAAUGGACAAUGGGAAAUUAAUUAAUUUCACCUUUUAUUUAAGUUUCUGCAUAUUAAACGAAUCUACUUUCAUUAUAUAUUUAAGGGAAAUGUAAGCCUUUUUUUUCGUUCUUUACCCUUUUUUUUCCUCACCUUAAUGGGGCUUGAGGAUGUUUGAAUUGUUCGCUAGAACUACUUUCAUUAUCUAUUUGAGGCAUACUUCAUGAACCACAUGGAUUCUAGGAAGUGAUAUAGACCUUUGUUUCUUUCAUUUGAGCCCUUCUAGCCAACCCGUAUCACUUUUAUCCCUUGUUAAUCACCUUGUGCCUUUUAUGUAAGCCUUUUUUUUCGUUCUUUACCCUUUUUUCCUCACCUUAAUCUAUCAUAUGUUACCCUUCUAAGGAGUUUUGUACAGUAUUUUCGUUGUUAAGGGAGAAUUGCACAACAAUCAUGUGGAAAGUAAAGGAUACUAUUUCCAAAAAAAAAACCUAAUUUCAAACCCUUUUCAACUCGAGUUAUUGAGCCCUAUGAGUGUUUUACAUUUAAUUUCGUAAAGCUAUGUAGCUUGGGAGUCAUUGGCCUAACACUCGCUGCAUGGGUUGAUUAGAAAGCUAAUGAAGAGUUAGAAAAAAAAAUUGUGAAAAAUAAAUAAAUUUCAAGACAGUAUCAAUAUGAAGUUGCGUGCUCAAAGUGCAAGAUGUUAUAAUUUUCAUGGAAAGCUCUAUGAAUUCCUUAGAAUUUGUUCAUCCAUAUCUUUUUCUUGUUUCACCCGUCACUCUAAGCCCCAUUACAACCUUAUUUGAAGACUAUUCUGCUAUUUUCUCAAGGCGUGCAAUAUAUGACUGGAAAGAUAAGAUAAAGACCUACAAUUUACAUAUUUUUUCAGAAUUUUCUCGGAGGAGGAAUGAUUCCAAACGUGGGUGCAAAGUAACUAACGUGUUAUCCUAGUCCAAGUAGGAAGAUGAGUCAAUUACUUACCCAUUUUGGAUUUAAGUUUUAAUUAGCUGUUUCUUUAUUUUUGGGCUGUUGUAAAAGGCCAGCUAAGGUAGGAAUAGACGUGUGGCAUUUUAUUUAAGCAUGAGACAACUCCUUUGGGAAGACGCAAAGACUAGGAGAAAUUGGAGACGCCGGAAGAGUACCACAAUUGGCUAAGUUUUAUUGUUUCUUCCUUAUGUUUUUGUUUAUGUCAAAUUCUAUGAUUAUGUGUAACUAAUUUUAUUUUGCUAGGGCAUGAUGUAUGCCUAGUAUGAUAAUCUAGUUUUCUUAUUUUACCUAUCUAUUGAUUGCAGUUUGAUGUUAGAUUCUUAAUCACUGUGCUUAGUACCUUAGUUGAUUACCUUGAUGCUUGAUCACCAUCUAGACUUUUAAUUGAGUUAAUCGGAUGCGAAUUAGAGUAAAUACCAUACUUAAUUUGAGGUUUGCUUCUUGUGAUUAGAAUUUGUAAUUUGUCUAAAGUAAAUACCAUACUCCUAGAAUUUACAUGCUUGUUGGAGGUUUUCACUGAUUUCAAUAUUUUCCCGACAUGUGAUGCCAACAACAUAGAUGUUUCAAUGUUUCACUAUGGAAGCAAUCACGUAAGGAUUAACAUGGCAGGACAUCAGACAUGAGAAACUAAGAAGAGAGAGAGAGAGAGAGAGAGAGACUUGCCAUUCAAGCAAGAGAAGGCCAUAACACUAUAUAGCAAUAGCACCGUAAAAUAAGAUGCAAAGAAUGAGGGGGUCAUGUUUUCAAGUACCAAAACACGCAAGGGCAUUUUGGUAAAGUACAUCUGAAAAUAAAUCAAGGCAAGCAAAGCCGUAGAUAUCCUCUUCCUGCUACACAUAGUAUUAGCCUACGUAAGGUCAUUACGGCGCCGUUUCCCUUUUUAAUUGGCGUAGUUCAACUCAUCAUCCACCCAAGUUCAUUUCGUUCAAAGCUAUAAAUAACCCCUCAAACCAUUCAACUUUCCCACCACCACUCCUCACUCCUUCAACUCAUUAACCUCUCUCUCUCUCUCUCUCUCUCUCUCUCUCUCUCUCAUCCGCAAAUGGCGAACCGUAGAAGCCUCUUUUCUCUCUCACUUAUCUUUGUGUUCAUGAUCAACUCAGCCAUAGCCACUCCAGUCACAUACAAUGUGGCCAGUUUAGGAGCCAAAGCAGAUGGCAAGACUGACUCCACAAAAGCCUUCCUCUCUGCAUGGGCUAAAGCUUGUGCCUCGAUGAAUCCCGGUGUCAUUUAUGUGCCGGCAGGAACGUUCUUUCUUCGCGAUGUGGUGUUCAGUGGGCCUUGCAAGAACAAUGCCAUCACCUUCCGCAUUGCCGGAACCCUUGUGGCCCCGUCGGAUUACCGGGUCAUCGGUAAUGCAGCUAACUGGAUUUUCUUUCACCAUGUAAACGGGGUUACCAUAUCAGGUGGAAUUCUUGACGGCCAAGGCACGGCCUUGUGGGCUUGCAAGGCCUCUCAUGGCGAGAGUUGUCCCAGCGGAGCAACGGUAAUUAAUUCACUACUUUAAAUAUCAUAUUCAUGACACCAUUAAAUAUCAAAUUCAUGACACCAUUAUUUUGUGCUUCAUUAUUAGUGAGAAUUUUAAAGGUCAACGUACGUACAAUUUGCUUUAUUAUUUGCUACCAAUUGAAUUGAGGGUUUAUAAAAUAAGUUCAAACUCCACAGAACGUAAUCAAAUGGACAUGAUAAAUUGUACCACAAGUUUAGCUUGAUCAAGUAAUUUCGUAAUAUGUGCAGACUUUGGGUUUUUCCGACUCAAACAACAUCGUGGUGAGUGGAUUGGCAUCCCUAAACAGCCAAAUGUUCCAUAUAGUCAUCAACGACUGCCAAAAUGUGCAAAUGCAAGGUGUCAGGGUUUCUGCUUCCGGUAAUAGCCCUAACACCGAUGGCAUUCAUGUCCAAAUGUCAUCUGGUGUCACAAUCCUCAACUCCAAGAUUGCAACCGGUGACGAUUGUGUCUCAAUUGGCCCCGGAACCUCAAAUUUGUGGAUAGAAGGCGUUGCUUGUGGACCUGGCCAUGGAAUUAGGUACGACAUCAAAAUUAUAUAUUUAUCCAUGAUUGAUUAAACUAGCUAAAUGCAUACUAUUUCAUAAUAUAUGUUAUAAUGUAUAUCUUUUUUCUUCAUUGCUUAAUGACAUUUGAACUUAGGACAUCUUUCAAUAAAGUGGAGAUUAAUUGAUUGCUAGUAGAGAUUCAUUGCCUACAAAAAGUAUAUCUUUCUUUUGGGUGGAUGUUCUAGUUGUAAAUUUAACAUUGCUUUACUUGAUGGUUCAGCAUUGGAAGUCUAGGCAAGGAGCAAGAAGAGGCCGGUGUACAAAAUGUAACAGUUAAAACGGUUACCUUUAGUGGUACUCAGAAUGGUCUAAGAAUCAAGUCAUGGGGGAGGCCAAGCACUGGGUUUGCUAGAAAUAUUCUUUUCCAACAUGCUACAAUGGUCAAUGUCGAAAAUCCUAUUGUCAUAGAUCAACAUUAUUGCCCCGACAACAAAGGGUGCCCUGGUCAGGUAAGAUAUCAUUCAUGCUCUAAAAAUCAGUUCCCAAAGUUUAAUAUUACAACUCAAUUUUCUCUUCUUCACAUUGAUAAAAACGUUGGCAUCACCAAAUUAUAACUGUCUAAGUUCGAAACAUAUCAAAAGCUUUCUUGGGCUUCCACCUAGAAGAGCCAAUAAUUUUAGGCCCAAAGCAAAUCCAAUAACUCCUUCCUCCAUGGGCUUGCUCUCCUACUACUUACAAAGAUCGAGCCUUGCUCAUUGUAACCUUUGUAACUUAUUAAUGGAAUUGAGGGUUGUAGCUCAAGUGGUUAACAACAUUUACUCUGGUAUUCGAAGUCCUAGAUUUAAUUCCCCUCUUUUCCAAUACCAUUUUUAUCAAAAUGACUUCAUCGUAGCUUAGCCAAAAAAGCAUUGAAUCCCAUUAAGCCGAAUUCCCAUGCUAUAAUACUUGUUCACCUUCUGUUUUAUCAAAAGCUGGAAAUCUGACUUCGUAUUGUUUUUUUUUUCUUUUGUCAAUUUUGUUUUUCAAUAGGUUUCCGGAGUUCAAAUUAGCGAUGUGACAUACGAAGACAUACACGGUACAUCAGCAACAGAAGUUGCAGUAAAAUUUGAUUGCAGUCCCAAGCACCCUUGCAGCGAGAUCAAAUUGGAGGAUGUGAAGCUUACUUACAAGAACCAAGCAGCUGAGUCUUCAUGUAGCCAUGCAGAUGGAACAACUGAGGGUGUGGUUCAGCCUACAAGUUGUUUGUAGAGUGGAAAAAUAUGAACUGCUUGUAGAAGUAUUGAAAUCCAAAAGUUUGCCCUCCAGUACUAAGGACAAAUGAAAAGUGAAUUAUACGAUUUAUAGGAAGAAUAAGCUUGUGGCGUUGGCAGCCUAUUUCGGCUCCCUUGAUCCUGGCCGUUCAAUUAGUUUAGUUUGUUCAAACUCGUCCACUUCGAUGGGUGUUUAUGUUAUAUGAACUGUUGUAAGAUUAUGUCCGGAAGACGUUAAAUUUACAAGAUUAAAUUUUAUUUUGAUGGCUGAUGUGGCAUUUGACAUAGAAUUCAAUAUUCUAUCAAUUUAAUUCACAAUUUUAUUAUAAUCGGAAGCACACAUUAAAUAGUAAAAAUUUGGUUCAAGAAACAAAAGGAUUUCAACACUCGCAUGAACUUUUUGGUUGGAGCAUUUUCUCAUGCCAAAUUUUACCCGUUAAAAAUUUAUUAUGGUAUUUUGACAUUUUGGUUGGAGCAUUUUCUCAUGUCAAAUUUUACCCGUUAAAAAUUUACUAUGAUAUUUUAACAUUUCGAUUGGAGAUGUAUAAAUGUUAAAUAUGCAUUGAUUCAAGAUGCAUUUUUGUUUCUUAUUCUUGAGCUUUGAGCUUUAGGUAAUUAACUUGAAUGCUGUUGGGCACCUUGCACUAGUUGAUUAAAGAAAAAUAGACCCGAAGCAAGAUUCCUUGUAGUUGCCAAUUCGAAGUUUUCUUUAUCGCUACAUACUUACUGGUCUACAACUUCUCUCUCUAAUACAUAAUUUGACAUAAAUAAAUACAAUGAAGAGUGCAUUGACUAAACAAAACAAAACAAAAAAGCAGCACGUAAGCACUUACGUGCAUUUGGUGUAAAAGCUAAAGGCCUCUGAUUUAUGUAAGCAGUUACGCUAAUCAUAUUAUAUUAUAUGUAUCUUGGCUCUGUAAUUGUAACGGAAAUAACACUGUUUUGUUAUUCUCAACCAAUAACACAAUGAUACGUGGAAAAGUUAUUUCACGUGUCAUUGCGUUAUUGGUUGAGAUAUAUCUUUCCCUUUCAAUUUUUGUAAACAUAUAUACCAAAUGUUAUGCUCAAAUAUAUAUUAAUUGUUAGACAUUGUUACCUUAAAAAAAAAAAUGUAUUGCAAAAUACAAGUUUGAUCAUAUGAUUAAUUUAAUUUUGUUGGUGUAAACGUGCAGCCAAUAUAUGGGUAUGGAGUCUCUGGGCACCCAGAUUUGAAGGCAGGUGACUUAGUUUGGGGGACUACCUAUUGGGAAGAGUACAGCCGAAUCCCUGAACCCGAAGGCCUGAUCAAAAUCCAGCACACUGAUGUACCUCUAUCCUAUUAUACUGGAAUUCUUGGUAACAAGUCAAACCUAUUUUAGAUCAUGAUGAUAUGUGUUGGUUUAGAUACGUAAGUGUAUUUUUUGUAAUUUCAUUUCAGGUAUGCCUGGUUUGACCGCUUAUGUUGGUUUCUAUGAAAUUUGUUCUCCUAAGAAAGGAGAACAUGUCUUCAUUUCAGCAGCAGCUGGUGCUGUUGGUCAGCUUGUUGGACAAUUUGCAAAAUUAAUGGGUUGUUAUGUUGUUGGAAGUGCUGGCAGUAAGGAAAAGGUACGAACUUGAGAAAUCUUUGAACUUCAAAUUAAUAUUAUCUACACCAUUUUUUCUUGUUUGGGUUGUAUUUUGCCGUUGUUAUUUGGGCCAACUUUGGUGUUGGUUUGGGUUGGGGCUUCUGUUUGUGUUGUUGAAUUGGGUCUUUUAGUUGUUUUUGUAAACUCUGACUUAACCAUUUUCUUUGCGUGUGCUAAAUUUAUAAUUUUGACCAGUGUCACGCAGGAAAUGUUUCAUGCUUUGUUAACAGGGGACUUUAGAGGAGUAUUUUAUUCAGAUGAAAAGUGAUUCAUUCCUUUCCUUUAUGGAUUCAUCUUGUUAGGUUGAUCUAUUGAAGAAUGAGCUUGGAUUUGAUGAGGCUUUUAACUAUAAAGAAGAGACUGACUUGAAUGCGGCUUUCAAAAGGUACAUAUGAGUAAUGAUAGAGAGAUUAGAUUUAUAAACCCUAGCGUACCAUGAAUACAAUGAGUUUCAACUCUAUUAGACAAGUUGUUAUUUGACAGGUGGUAUACAAAGCAAUCUAUAAAUGUGAUCUCCCUAUUAUUUUUCGUAAAAUACAUAUUUAUUAUGUUAUACUAGUUUCCUUUAGUAAGAAAAGAAAGGAAAAAAACGAUUAUAAAGAAUUUGUGUGUUGUCAGGGUUCGUUAUUCGACUGGGCCAACUCAAAAAUUUUGGGUUCGAGUCGAGCCCUCAUGGGCCUAAAUGGGCCAGACUUUUUGUUUUAGAAAGUCUUUUAAAUCUUUUUGUUACACAUUUCAUUUUUUCAAAAGUGAUGGAUAUAGAGUAUUCUUUUAAACAAUAGUAUAGAUUACUACAUAAUUUAAGAAAACAAAAAUAUAAUGGCCAAACUUUUUUACUAAACCUAGACCAAUAACCAAUAUAUUUAAAAAAUAUUAUACCUAAAAAUGAAUCUUAUAAUGUGCAAUUUGUGCCUUAAUUAACUUAUAUCCCAAAUUAGGAUUGACAUCAUGAAAAUUAAAGCAACUUGUGCCUUUAAAAUUAAUAAACCCAGAAUAAGCUUUCAAAUUCUUUAUUGAACCAUUAAAUUUGAACUUGACAAAAAAGGGGCACUAAGAGAUAUGGUGCAUAUAUUGCUUGUUUGUUACAAAAUUUUAGACAACAUUGAAAAAAUUAACUUAAUUUAUAAUAUGUGUAAACAAAAAAAAAAAAAAAAAAAAAAGCAUAAGGGGGCGGGCCUAACCAUCCUGUUAGGCCGGACUUUGGCCCAUCAGGCCUCGGACUACCCACUUCGGGGCCGCGGGCCAAAUGAUGAUCCUUAUAUGUUGUAUAUGAUGCUUUGAAGCUUGAGCUUUCUUGAGUGAAGAAUAAAUUUUCUUUGUAAUUACCAUACACUUGUCAGGUAUUUCCCUGAAGGCAUUGAUAUUUACUUUGAGAAUGUUGGAGGCAAAACGCUAGACGCAGUGCUCCUCAACAUGAGAGUCCAUGGCCGCAUUGCUGUAUGUGGAAUGGUCUCACAGUACAAUCUUGAUCAAGCAGAAAGGGUAACAAAUUUGAUGCACCUUGUGUACAAACGUAUCCGCCUCCAUCGAUUUUCGGUAAGAGAUCACUAUCACCUCCAUCCGAAAUUCGUGGAGUUUAUGCUGCCUUACAUUAGGCAAGGAAAGAUUGUUUAUGUGGAAGACAUAGUUGAAGGCCUUGAGAGUGGUCCAAGAGCGCUGGUUGGACUUUUUAAGGGUCUUAACUUUGGAAAACAAGUAGUUGACGUCUCUGCAUGAAUAAGUUGUUUUGUCAAUCGAUUUGGUGUGCUUGUGUUUCUAACCACUGUAACUUUGUUAAGUGGCUCUUUGGUUUUAUUUUCAUGUUUUUGGACCCUUUUUGGGAUUGCAUAUGUUAAGUGGUGCACUUUGUCAUACAAAAGAUAUUCAUCAAUAAUAAGGGCUAGUUUGGGAUUGUUGUCAUUUUUAAAAAAAGAUGUUUUUGUUGUGUUUUGGAAAUAAUGAGCUGUAAAGUAGUUCCAUGCUUGUUAAAACAAUAUUUUUAAAGUGUUGUUAGUAUAAACAGCUAUGUCAAAACCGUUUGGUAAAUUUUGAUAUAAAACUAGUAACUGUUGAUAAUGACUAAAACAUACAUGAUAUGUCGAAAGUGUUACGUGGUAACUAUGUGGUGGUGGUGGUGGUGGUAUAGGUGGAGGUUGAGUUGGUGGUGGUGGUGAAGGUGGUGGGUGGUGGGGGAAGUGAUGUUAGUGCAUGUGGUGGUGGUUUGUAGUGGUUGUGGUGGUAUAGGUGGAGGUGGAAGUAGAGGUGGAGUUGGUGGUAGAGGUGAUGGGUGGUGGUAGUGGUAAAUGUCAAAUCGAGGUACGAGUGAUCAAAUAAGUGUACAAUAAAAGUUCUUGGGAAUUAGAUUGAUAACAGUGUUUUACGAAUCAUAUUUAACAAGAAAAUCGAGACAUAUUUUCACAUUUAUUGAGCCAUAUGGGUCACAUAGGAUAAUCAAGUCGGCAAUAAAGCUUGGGUGGUAUGACAUCCUCUAUAGGCCUAGAAGUGUGAUAUAAAGGCACAAGGUUUGGCAAAUUCUGUAGUUGAAUUACCACAUCGACUUACAGAGGUGUGAUACGGGCAUCAACUUAAAUACCAAUUUAAUGAUACCAACUUAUGUGGCACAUGACAUAACAAUUUAUGUCAUAUGCCACAUCAUUUUUUUUAUUAAUUAAGUUUUAACCAUUUUUUUGUCAGAAUUAACUUAAUUAUUUAGUUUUAAAUAAAUAAAUUCUGCUCCACGCCUCCCUUCCUUCUCGGAUCUACUACCAUGGCCUCCUUCCUCCCCAACUUGUAUGCCCUUAUUAUUACGCACAUUGAAUUUGGCUUUCGGGGUGUGACAUAUUUUUACCAAUCCCAUGAAGCUUUUCUUAUCUUUGAAUGCUUGAGUGCUAACCAUUGUGUGUUUCCCUUGCUUUAGGAAGAUUGCCUCACUCAGCAAGAAUGCAUGGUGAGGUGUUUGUGAAUGGUGCAAAAUCGGUACAUGUACAUGGCCACGACACCGAUAUAUAAAUGAGAAGAGAAUUCCUUGGUCAGUAUCAAUAUUGCGAAACUGUUGCAGCAUUGAAGGGUUGUGUGAACUCCUCGAUUUCAAGCGAAGUCGAAUAUUGCUUGAUGUGGAAGAUGGCUCAAACUAAUAAAAAUGAGGAAAACGGAUCAUACCAACAAAAAUAUGGCAGAUGGCCAGAAUCAAUAUAACCGUGGUCAGAUUUGGGAAGUGAGGCCAUGGCAGAUUCGGAGAGGGAGGGAGGCCAUGGCAGAUCUAUAAAGGAAUGGAGAAACAGAUCAUACCUCUUCCCUUCUCCUCAUACCAGAAUUCAUCAUACACACCCAAUCGAUUUUGAAAUAUUACAUAAAAGUUGUGAUGGUCCUGGAACUGCAGAUUAAGAACGCUUUUUAUAUGCUUCCCACGAGCAUUCAGACAAACCCUUAGAGGGCGAGUGACAUCAUAACCUUCUCAACUUACCAAAGGAAGACCUCCUUCCGAAGUGGUAACCACUUGCUGAUGCUCCCAACUACAGAACCUAGUUUCCAUGAACACGUGUCACCUCCACAAUAGUUUGCACAAAGUCCCACAUCGAAAUUUUGUGCAAAACUCCCAUUUUCAAGGAACAGUGCCCAAAGAAAAAGGAGUAAAUACUUUUCACCUUUACUGUUACUCUGCCAAAAUUACCACAUAUACUCGCUGACUUAAGCAAUGGAGAGCCUUCGGCAGGUACCACACCGGUGUCCGAAGCUUGACGAUCCCUUCUUCCUUGUUUCCUUUUGCAAGAUCCCUCCAUACCGAAGGUCCACAACCUUCUCCCCUGCUGAAGAUUUAACCCUCAUUUAUCUAAGUUAACCCUCUGAAAAAAAGCAUCAACACACACAACACUCAUUAUCUUUCAGCAAUCUGAUUAUCUUACACUAGUUAAUUUAUGGGUUGUUUGAUAACCAUUUCAAUUUUAAUUUUUAGUUUUCAUUUUAAUUUUUUGUGAAAACUGAAAACAUGUUUGGUAUUAGAUUUCGUUUUCAAAUUAAAAAAAAGUGAAAUCUAGUUUUCAAAUUUUAAAAAAGUGAAAUCUAGUUUUCAAAAUCACCUUUAUUUUUUAAAACAACUUGGAAGUGUUUUAUGUUUUUUUUUUUUUUUUUUUUUUUUGGCACUAUUGUUUGUUGGAGUGUUAGUUGACUUUCCUUGCACACCAAGGUUUCCCAUAUUAACUCAUGCAUAGAUUGGGAUUGAUUUCCUACUCUAAAUAGUAUUAGAAGUUAUUACUUACCUUACUUGGCCUUCAAGGAAUAUUGUAUUAUAAAUAUGGCCUUCUACAAGGAGAAGAAUACACAGAAAAUUCUCACCACAAUUACUCUUUCAUAAUUUUAGCAUUAUUUCAUUCAUAAGUUUCACAUCACCACACAUGAAAUGCACUCCAGUUACCAAAAGUCGGUAUUUGGGACCUCCCAACUUGGACUUGGUCGCUCAAUUCGUGCUUUUGGCCACAAUCCCAAUCCAAACCUUGUCAACUCCAUGUCCAAAGGUCACUAAAAAAUAAUCAUAAUUUUAAAAAAUUCAUCAAAAAAUAUUACGAAUUUUUUGUCAUUCCUGCUUUAACUUUACCUUUUGUUUUCAAAUGUUGACCCGACCCAACCCAACUCUCAAUGCCCGAAGGGUUCUAUCGUGUAGUUAAGAGUUGGGUUUUCCAAGGUGGGUCUAUAUUGAUUCGCACAGCUUUGCGGUAUAUCUGUGGGUAAGAUACUGAUCUCAAAGUAGUAAAGGCUGAACUAAAAGGCUAAAUGGGAAAAGGAAUACUUUCUUUUCUCUUCCUCAAGAAACAUACAUCCUCACCACAAGAGAGGGAGAGUUGCUUGGUAUUUUGUUAAAUAAAAUAAAAUAAUUAAUAAUUGAAAAUCGAAAAUGUUUGAAAAGGAUAUUGGGAAUAAAGAGAGAAGAUGCGGGUGUGCGUAAAAUAACAAUAAAAGAAAAUCAUAUCUUUAAAAUAACAAUAAAAGAAAAUCAAAUAAAAAAUCAACAAAAAAAAAAAGAAAAAUUAAGUUUUAGGGAGUAGAAAUCGGGAUGGAGGGGGGAGACAGAGUUUUUUUUAAAAAUUUUAUUCAUAUUUUAAUCAAUUUUGAUAUUGUUGAGGCCCAAAAAAGUUACGGGAAACCCAAAGACAUUUAAAGCCCAAUAUAACAUAUAAUGUCAGUCAUGUGUUAAUCCAAGCUGUAAUUUGGAUUUAAUUCAUUAAAUAAAUAUAGAAAUAGUGUACAUGUCAUGUCAAACUAAUAAUACAUUUUUCCCAUGCCAAUCACCUAUCAAGCUCACAUGAACCCAAGUCAUGUGGUUUACGGGGCUUGCACGAGGGAUUGUGGUGUGGAAGGUUACGGAGGUCCACAAGGCCCACGGAAGCUCUUGGAUAAUGGAGACUUUGGGCUAGCUACUUGGGAGCACCAAAGUCCAAGCCCAUUACUUAGAGUUCUCCAAUGUUGGUGAGCAAAUUGUACAUUUUUCAAGCACUUCCCUUUACCCAUAGGAAAUAGUCAUUUUCCAAAUACCUAGCUUUACCGGUUGGAAAUAAGCCUUUUCCAGCACUUCCUAUUACCCACUGGAAACAAGUAGUUUCCAGUGCUUCCUUUUACCAAUAGGAAAUAAUCAAUUUAUGGUACCUAGCUUUACCUGCUAGAAAAUAGCAUGACCUAGUGCUCCUUUUUAACCAUUAGAAAUAGGUUGGUUUCAGUACCUCCCUUUACCUAUUGGAAAUAAAGGAAAACUCUCACCCUCUAUAAAUUGGCAUUCAUGGCUCAAGCAAAAGGCACCAAUUUUUUUUCAACCAACACUCCCUCACUCGGCUGCUGCAAGCAUCCCAGCAGCCACUAACCCCCAUAAAGCAUCACCUAGCUCCAAGUUUUUCCUUCCUUCCAAGCUUUAAACAUCAUAGCCUUCAAACCUCAAGCUUUUCCUUCCAUCCUCCUCCUCUUGAAACUCUUAGAUCCCCAUAGCCAUAGCCACACACAACAAAUUAUCAACACCAAACUCAAACAUAUCUAACACCAAGCCAAGCACAUGCAUUCUCAUUUGCUAAACUUGUGGGUCUUUAGCUCCCACACUCCAAGCUUUCAUGCCAAGCUCACAUAAUCUCAUACCAACAUCAGCAAGUCAUCUUCAACUCUUCGUCGAGCUGCCGAAAACAUCAACACAAAACACGCAGCUGCUAGAAGAAGAACAAAGUACUCUCCCAGGACUUGCUUCUCCCUCGGGAUAUUUUGGGCCUAGUUCUCGCUAGCUCAGACAAAGGGGCAACGAAGUCUUCAUUCAUCACUCUAUGGCAAUCCAAGAAUCAACAAAGCCCGAAUGAGCCUUCGGACGAAAAAGACCCCAACAUAAAUGGUGACUCUGCUGGGGACUAGGCUAUUACUCUUACAAUGGCUUCUCCACAUAAGAUUUAAGUCACGUCGAUGCAAUAUACCAAAGAUAAGAGUGUUUUCUCCUUUGUUUCUUUUUUCUUAGCUCUGUAGAGCAACCCAAAAAAAAAAAUGUUGGUAACAUUAUCUCUUUCUCUGUUUCUUAGAUCUAUGUUCUCAAGCUAAAUGAAAUUUUGUGAAAUGACCCCUGGGGUUGAGGCAAAUCAAGCAUUCGUGCCACUGAGGUACCGGAGACACCAAAGCAAACUCCACAACCGUCCUCAAAUUCAAUUGACUUAGGGGCUUCAUGCCAAGAAAAUUUGAUGCCAAAAUCAAAGAAAAAGUUUUCAAACUUGAGAGAAACAGAGCAUACAAAGUAGAGAAGAGAAAUAAAAACUUGAGCAGAAGAAGGUUGAGCUCAACAUCCAUUCACAGCCUGGGGGCUUUAGCCAACAUGCAAGCCGUUGACCACCAUCGUCAACUAUUGAGGCUAGCCCCGUCGUUCACCUUCCACCGUGAAACAUCAUCAGCAAAUCUAGCCAUCGCCGUAAGUCACCUUCGUAGCAGCCCUCACCUCUCUAGAGUUGUGCAAACACGAUGAGAAAGGGAGAAGGAACACUUGCUCAAUGCUCUCAGCCUCAUCUCUGCGAAUGGCUUCACCAAGAUAAGAUUUUGUUGUCUCAUUAAUCUCAAUAUAUCAUAUAUAUUUGUUUACUGUUUUAAUAUAUUCAUAACAUUUAUGUUUCAUUGAAUUGUCUUAAGCAUAGACAAAAGCACGUGGGUUGGUCUACCCAAGUCAAAAAGAUUGAUUGAUUAGUUAUUAUUAUACUCUGAUGCAUUAUAUGGUGCACCAGCUUGCAUCAUUUUCUUAUUAUUUAUUGAUCCACUACUAUUAUUUUACUUGUCACUUGCAUUAUUAUAUUGUAUCAUUAUCUUGUUUAGUGUGUGAGUCAAAUAAGUCACACCACCUUUUUGACUAACACAUGCUAUUCUAUUAGCCUACUUAUGGCUAUGGGUUAUAUUAUUUAUGUGGAGCAUGUGAUUAUUUGCUCCAUAAAGUUUGUAGAAGUUACACACUGUCAAAAACACAUUAUCACAUAUUUUGGUUAUUACUUUAACCAAGUCUUAAUCAUAUAUAUCUUUUUUUUUUAAAGAGCUUCAUCUUUGCAAUCCAAGCUUAAUUCAUUUGCACUGUUAAUCUGGAUUAAUAUAUCAUUCAAAUGGAUUGAUCCAUCCUUCAAGUGGAGUAAUCCAUAUUUAAUAUGUAUUAAUCUACCUUUUUAAUUUUGCAUCUCCAGCAAAAUUUCUCAGGGCCUUAUUCCAUGCACUAUUCACUUAUCUUGUACUUCUUAUCAUUUCGUAUUGAUCCACCUUUGUGUUGAUCAAUCCAUGUUACACAUUGUAAUGUAGAUGCCAACUAUGCAUGCUCAGGACUAGAACAAUACAUGCUCGGCAUGCUUAUGUCAACUAUGUUAGUCAUUUGCAAGCUACAAUGCUUAUAUUAUUUUUGUAAUCAUCGUAUGCUUUGGUCAUGCAGCAUUAUAUCAGUCAAGUGUAAAGGACCCAACCUCCAAACAGCAAACAACUCAUGCUCUUUCCAAGACUAGUGCCUCGGUCCUAUGUCUACACAAGCAAGCUAAAACCAAUAUUAAAAAAAAUAUCCAAGGAGGCAAUGCACACAGCUCCUAAUAUCUCCGAGAGCAGCUUUUCCAUACUCCCACAAGCUCCUUCAAUACACUCUAUAUCAAUACAUUUGUUUGUGGGUCAACCCACAUGGGCAUGCAAAACAUAUUAGGCAAGCAAAACAUAUUAGGCAAGCAAAACCAUGCCAAGUAUUUUAUUUACAGGCCUAGCAUUUUAAUCGAGCAAAAUAUCAAAUAGAUAACAUGCCAUAACAUACCAGGCAAAAUUGUCAAAUCAACAAGCCAUCACAAUAGCAAGGGACCCCCUAUUUUAGUUGUCUCCUACUUGGAUAAAGAAUCUGAGCUGUUGGACAAGAUAUUCAUAUCCACCAACAUGUGUGAAGACAUAGAGGCUGUUUCUUUUAUGCUCUCAUGUACUGGAUGUAGAGGAGCUGGUCUCAAGAGAAAUCAUGCCAAGAAGAAACAAUCCAUCUCCAAAACCAUGCAACUCAAGAUUUCACUUAUUGCAAUCACCAUCAGCAGCAACUCCAAAACCACAAAUGAGCUUAAAAUCCAUUAUUACCAAAACCACUAUCCCAAGAUCAAAAAUCUCCUUGAAAUUCCAAUUAUGUCACUAUGACCUCCAAGUUUGCCACCACUUGCAAGAACUCAAGCUGUUGUAACCCAACACAUUUGCUGC